rnacentral:lncRNA from 1 species
UAGAGUAACAUUCUAAACACCGUUUUUUUUUCUCGCAAAAAAAAUGGCUCAGGUGGAAAAUGCAUGGCUGACCUUGUUCUCAAGGAACGAAACAAAAUGGAUCAGGUGGAAAAUGCCGAGUGGCAUCGUCUGCUUAGAUGUGAUGGUGAACGGCCAAACUUAUGCCACAUCACACGAAUAUGUAGCAGCAAACCUCCCCAGUCAAGUAUUAACCUAAACCCUUAACGACCGUAUGUAUUUCGAGUGCAUUGGUAUCCGGUGCCAAAAUUGAACAUACACCUCCAGUAGGAUGACCGCGGAUGUAUGUAUUACACUCUUUCAUCUAACACGCAAGCACGGUCGCCGCCUCGGCCUGCUUUGUGUUGCUGGCGAUGGUGAGAGGCCCGUUGAGAGAAGACUCACUUCUUCUCCGCUGCUUUAUGGUCUGGAAUCUUCAGUAUGCCACCGUCGAUGAGCGGCUGCACCUCGGAUUUCGCAAGAUCCUUCACCUUGGAAUCCGAAGAUUCCAGAUAGGCAGCCACCACCUUGGAGCUGCAGCAGCGACCAACAAAUUCAUCAGAGUAUCAGCGCAUGGUUUCCUUUUUUUUUUUCAAAAUACCAACUCAGCAGUGCAAUGAAGUACUUAAAUUGCAACGGGUAAUUGAAAUUUUAUUCAUCGCAUUUGCAUGGUCCACAAAUUUGAUGGACAGAUUAACAACUGACAUAUCGAUGACGAGUCAUUCUGAGGUACCUGAAUCCAUCUGCAAAUGACUUGCACUUCCCUUUGAGGGCUUUUUUCCAUAGGGUAGCAGCAAACGCAGGACAAUCAAGUAUCAUCUUUCUGAUUACGCGGCUCGAGUGGUAGUUAUCAAAGGCAUGCUCAACAUCUUCUGUCCUCGGGCGUUCUGCGUCAGAAGCUAUAGCAUUGUGAAGCACGUGGAUCCUGUCGGUGACCCCCUCCAAGACAUUAUUUUUUCCACCUACAGCAACCUUGGAAAAUUGGGAAUACAGAAUCUCAGCAGGUGCAAUCAUGAAGCUCUUCAAUAGUCAAUUACUCAUUUGUAUCAAGAGUUAGACCAAUAAAACAAUAGUUAAGGUAGGUUUGUGUCUAGACUGGAGUGCCGUUUUCUUUUACAGGAGGUUGAUUCAUCAUUAAGGAACAGUGAAUAACAGUAAUACUACGCGGCAUAAGGACCAGCACAUCCAGAGAAAAGGUCCCAUCAACUCAUAAGAAUAUUUUCAAAUUGUCAAAUAAUAAUCAGGGACAAUGCUUGUCUCUUGUGAAGGUCGUGGAAGUAAAAGCAUAUUUAUCACAAGUAGCUCCUUUCACGAAGAAAUAGCAUAGAUGAAUGAAUAUUCUCCCAAGAUACUGCCUAUACAGGUACAGGUAGAAGCAUGGAGCAUGGACCAAGGAGAUUACCUCGUAUAAUACAUCUUUGCCGAAGUUUGUUCUAAGUAACUCUCCAACAUUUUCAAUGCAAGUCUCGAUGAGAACCUACAAAGAAAAAAUAACACCUACAUUAUUGCUUGGAUUAGCGGAUACGUGACUGUGGGAGCAUAGUAAUGUCGGGAUCAGGGUGUUAUGUGACUAAUGGGGCGGAGUAAUGUUGCGACUAGGUUUUCUUUGACAAAUGGUCACCUUUAAAUCAUAAUCCCAAAAUAAGUGUCGCUGAUUUAGUACAACUUUAUAUUAACUUUGCACUAAAUCAACGACACUUAUUUUUGUACGGAGGGAGUACUAAACUACUGCAACAAUAAAUGUAGAUCUCUUGAGGUGGGAAACUACAUACUCCAAAAGAAAUGACGUUGAAUAAAUAAAUAAAAAGUUAAAUACAUGUUACAAGUAUCACCUCAAAAAGCUCGCUUUUCACCAACAGUUCUUGCCGCCGUUUAAACGGGUCCUUCUUGCUAUCAGAUGCAACCAGUGUGUCUUCUGAACCCCCAGGUUCUUUGUCAGCUACAUCAUCCAACUUACUAUCCAAGUUAACUUUAGUAGCACUCUCUGAUGCCUCAUCCUGAAACAAAAAAAAGCAAAAUUUCUGGGGGCCUGUCUCUCUUCAAAGUACUUAACAGUUAAUAGAGUAGGUAACUUGCCUUUGAAACAAGGGAAGGCACACUGUACUUCAGACAAAUCAAAUCAGUCGGAGUCAGAUAACGUGAGCAAAGUGGGUGAAGUAGCUGCAGCAAUGGGCGUCUCCCGUUCUGCUCCAGCAAGGAGCUCAAUCAUAAAUAGUCUCAUCUCUCAUGUGGGUAUAACUAAUACUCCCUCCAUCCCAAAAUAAGUGUCUGGACUUUGUACUAGCUCUAGUACAAAUUUGUACUAAGCUCAAGACACUUAUUUUGAGACGGAGGGAGUAGCAAAUAAAAUAAGGAUAUCAGAAGCUCGUUAUUCCUUUUACCUUGUCAAAUAUGAGUUCCUUUAACUGCUUUGUCAGCUCAUCAAUUACAACCUACAAAUAUUGAAAGUAAGCUAUAAGCACAUGAACGGCUGCCUCUUCAGAUUGCUUGUAAUGGCAGCAUAACACUUGCUUCAAGCAAACGAUUGGUGCUGGCUAACCUUAGUAACAAGUUUUGUGUCAUCAACAAUGGAGAGAAGACAAGCAAGGAACUGGAGAAAAUAAGAAAUGUUAGUUUAGUCGAUGAUUAACUACUUGGAAGUAUAAAACCAUCUGAAAUUACUGUGGAUUAGGAGAAUGUUCAUAAAGGUUAAAGCAUAAAAUUUACACAGUACCAUCCUAUUUAAACACUAAAAUAAGCUAUUACAUAUAUAGAUAUCACUUACAAGGCAUCCAUAAUCACCAAGAGCAAGCUUCAUAUUCUGCCCCUUCAAGCUUUUGAUAAUUUUCUUCCUAUCCUGAAAUGCAUUAACAUGUUAAAUGACAAAACCACACUGGAAAUAAGCAAGAAUGAAAAGAAAUACUGCUGGAAUAAGCAAGAAUGAAAAGAAAUACUACUGGGUAUGCAGCAUGAGGCACUAACUAAUGCACGGGUCAAUUUGCAUGACUAUUUAGUGUCUCUGAAAUCUACAGGAGUUAUUAAUAGAUAAACAUUGGAAAAAUCAGAUGAGUUGGCAAAGUUAAACCAAGUGAUCGCUCUGAAAUAUCUCUUUUAGAUACAAAUAAGAAAACGGAAAGAGACAAGAAAAAAGAAAAUGUACCUUCGCACUGCCAUGCUUGAGGCAAGCAAGUCCUAUUUUUAAACCUUCCCUCGUCUGCAUGAUCCGAAUGAGAAGUGGUUCUGAAGAUCUUUUCUUCUUAGCUUUUGAUUUCGUUGGUACUUCAGCGACCCCUGAUAGUUCAUCUCCAUCUACGACAGAUGACCCUUGGGUAAGAUGGGGGAUUAACUGACGAAUCACAUCCGAGGCUGAUGUCUACAAAACACAUGCAUAUAUUAGAUAGUGCGAUAUGCUGAAGAAACAUUUCACUAAAAAAGGAGAGCUUUGUUAUAAAGAUAGGCCAAUCACGUCAAUGAAAUACAUUUACCUUAUCCGCAAUUGUUAAGUACUCCAAUAUGACCGUGUGAACUAUGGAAUACUCAACAAUACCCUUUUCCAAAAGUGGCUGGAUAACAGUAGUCAUAUACUGCAGGACAGAUGAUUUCUGUAGUCCAAGCUUGGAAAUUGUUUCUAACAAACUGAAAAAGAAAGUUGAACUUUAGUAUAUAUUGAACUAAACAAAUAACUGCAGCCACCUAUGGCAGGAUAAAUGGGUGACUACAAAAAUAUUUCCCUCCGCCCAAGUUAAGUUUUGAACAGAGAUGUAACAAAAGUUAACAGGACACUACAAAGCAGAUGUAUGACAAGACAUUAUAGCAUGCCAACCUGCAUGAUUUUUGUUCAGUCAAGUCUUUGAACAGCUGAAGCUCAGUGGAGUACAAUUCCAACAACAAACUUCUUUUCUGAGGCGGCGUCGCCUGAUGAAAGGCGCAAUCAACAACUGCAAGUAAGAGUGCAUCUCAAUGUGAGAUUACCAUGUACCCCUUUACUUGUAUAUAGCAAAUAGAAACGCAUGAGUACAGCGGUAUUCAACCAUUAACUCCUGCUGCUCUUAUACACGACAAGUACCUACCCCUUAUGACAAUAACACAUAACAACACAUACCUGCGGCUCCUAUUGUGUGACGAAGUAGAGAAGCGACAUGACCAUGAAGGGAAGAGAUGAACAAGGCAAGCUGUUUUUUAGUGGCUGCAGUCACAAAAAAAAAAGGUAUGUUAGUCAAGCUAAGGGUUAUCAAACAAACAAGCAACAUUCUCACAUAUGAAAACAUACGGGGUUUUAGCGAAUCAUAGAGAAAUUUACCAAGUUUUAUGAGCUUCUUCACAAGGAAAACAGCGUAUUUCUUGCGAGAAAGAUGGAGCAAAUGUGGCUGCAGGGCAACAAAAACAGCAUCCCUCUCUGGCUGUGAGCACCACUUGACACAUGUCUGAAAAAAGAAUGGUGGCUACCAGAAUAAGCACCAAAACACCAUAAGCAGCGCACUCAUAAAGACUGAUGAUCGUCAACUUACUUGAAGAACACGUGCAGUUACAUGGGAUCCAGCAAUUUCGAAAUAUUUGCCAUCCAUUUUACGGAGAGCCUCGGUUACUAGCCUGUAGAGAUGAUGACAAACCCAUCAGCAUAAGAAGUUGAACAUAAGUUGCAACUCACAAGACUUUAAUAGUGACACUUACUUGGAUCUAUUCUCCUUGCUGACAUCACGACAUCUCAUCUUUUCCCAUAGUACUGCGAGUUCCUGUCGAUAUUAGGUGUCAACAGCACCCCAAAUUAGAGUUGCCCAAGGUAGGUUACUGAAUCAUCGUAAACAGAGGCGACGGUUCAAGCAGGCAGUGGUACUGUCUAUUACUGGGAUUACUGGGAUCAACGCCAGUUUUUGCUUCACUAUCAAAAUUAAGUAAUGCCAUCAGCAGAACUGAAAAUCCAGAAGAUGUAAUACUCAGAUGUCUAUUAUUUUGGUUAGGCUACAAGCAGUAUUAAGUGAUUGAUUAUUAUGUAUGCAGCAAAGCAAAGUGCAAUCUGAACUUUGAACAUACAAGGAAACGUGAUCAGACACACAGCCAGGAGUUGAGAUGCGCAAUCGUAAUCGGAGCGUACAGAGCGGAUAGCGUAAAUUACCUUCUCGAGGUUGUAAUUGGGCUUCCUCUUCAUCUUCCUGGACUCGGACAUUUCCUGCCACAACCAACGCCAUUCCACAGUUUUAGCUCAAACUCAAGCAGCAGCCCGCACUCUAAACCAACACCCAUCCUCCAGCUAUCACAGCAAAAGGAAAGGAGUACGGACGGAAUACCUUGGCAGCGACCCGCUUGUCCUUGGCGGUGACGGGCUGCGGCUUGGGCUUGGCGGCGGGGGCGUCGUAGGUCUUCUUGCGCUUGGCCGCGUCGCCGGGGCCGGCCCCCUUGGACGGCGCCUUGGGCCUCCCCGCGGCCUCGCGCUUCCGCUUGUUGGCGCCCGGGUGGUCGCCGCCGCCGGCCAUGGCUGCGCGAGGCGGUGUCGGCGAACGGAGGAGGAGCGGGCGAGCGGGCGAGGGUUUGCCUGGUAGCGCCGGAGGGCAGAGGCCGGGACUGGUUGGCUCGUUCUAGCCUUCUAGGGUUUAUCGUACGCAUUCCCGGCACGAGUGGGCUUGCGGCACGGCCUGGCCCGCCCAUGCCAGCCCAUCUUCAUGCGGCAACGCAUCGGGCCUGCGACACUUGUCGGCCCGCGCAUCGUAACCCGGCCGUCGUCCCUUUCUAGACGCUUAUUAGGUUGGGCCAGGCCCACAGGCUCGCCUCUGACUGGUCAAGUGGUGGGCAGGAGGGUCGAUGCACCUUGAGGUGUGGCGCGCGCGCGGGAGGGUUUUCACUUUUUCCCGCCGUGGAGGCCGCGGAGCGCGCCAACGAACGGGCGAACAGCGGGACGUGGACGCGUGUGCGACCGCGGGGCCUCGAUGCGCGGUGCGCAGGGCCGCGCGGCGUGGGGCGUGGGGCGCCUCUUUUUGGGCGCUAGUGGUGUCGGCGUGCGAGCGAUCCGGUGCGGUGCGGCCGUCCGUGUGGCCGCGCGGGCGUGCUCCCGACCGCACGCGCCGCCGGCGGCUGGGAGGGGAUGGUUGGAGAUCUGGCGGAUACAUUUCCGUGUACGUGGUCGGGACGCGAUCGGAUAGGCUACUGGUACUGCUAGCCGCAGCCUGUGUGGGCCGUGAUCUCGUUGAUCGCACGUACCCCUACCCGGGGUCUGGGCUAGUCCACGAGACUACGACUGCGACCCUGCUGAUGUUGCCGGGUCACUAGUAUGAUUUUGCUUGGAGCACAAGAAGCAGGAAUCCGUUUGUUGCAGGUUUCUCUUGCUGAUGAGGUCAGGUCAAGACCACGUAGUAGUGGGAGUGGGAGUACUUCUUUCCCAAGAAAUGUCUUGCGUGCGUGAAGGGUUGUUAAAAGAACGACCGACUAUUUCUGGAGCUCGUUUGCUGGUUGGAUAUCUAUAAUGGGAUAUACAAUGUCCGAGGAAUUUAUUGUGUAAAAUCAUGUUGUUUCAAAUAUAUGUUUAGAACACCAAGCGGUCAGCUUGGUAAGCUACCUACAAAAAUUUGCAAUAACAGUCGACCUCACACAUAUAUGUAUUUUUAUUUUAAAAACAUGAUUUACUUACACAAUAAAAAAACAAUGUGAUAUAUGCUUGUCUCGUUGACGAAGAAUGUUGUUCCGGUGGGGGCGACGUCCCCUCGAUAUAGAGGGGAGAGUUGUACGUGUGUGUUCGACUAUCUUAAAGCUUUGCGAGUCUGUUUGCUUGUCUGCAGCCCCCAAACAGGUCCGUUGGAUGUAAGAAAAACUCGCUUCAUGGCGUACACGAUGGGUUGGCCUGCACGCAUAUGAACAUUAAAGCAUUCCAUAGUCUCGCUCGUUAGGAACGCUCAAAUCAGCCACUUGCAGCAAGUCCAACUGAGUCGGGCGCACAAGGAGAGAAUGGCUUACAAAGUGGUGCAGGGAGGAAUCGACAUGGAGAUGGUUGGAGACCAAAAUUUAUCGGAGUGGAAUGUCGUGAAAUCAAGUCUCACCCCUCCCCUCUUUACUCGCUCACCUUUAGCAGUAGGACGAAUCUAGCCUCAGUUCUCAUCAUCGACGGCGCCGGCGACGACGGCUUAAAUCUCCGGCACAAGGACCUGCUCCCCCCACCACCACCACCACCACCACCAUGAGUUGCUUGUCCCCUUCUCUCCUUCUCGUUCACCUCGUCUUCGGCAUGGGCGGGUCGCCAACCCCAAUGGCGGUAAGCGGCAUACAACCACCCUCCGCUAUUACGUUGUUAGGUACGGUGUUAGGGUUCCUUUUGCCAUUACUUACCGCAUCACCAAUUUCACAAGGAUGAAUGGACGAGUCUGGUAACUGAGGCAGCAACACUCAUAGUUAUGAUUCAGGUAUGAGUCAUGUUGCUCCACAAGAGAGCGAUUCAUCAUAAUUCGAAGCUUGUAGCCCGAUAUGGUCCAUUGUUAGCCCGAGAUUGGAAGAGGAUGUCGAAUAUGAACUACAUCUACAACAACAAUGAUGUAGAGGCUGUGAGCAUGCUUUGGAUGCGAAUAACACCUUUUGCCAAGCUUGUGGUCACGUCCAAGGAUAGUGGGUUGCUACAAGAUAACAUCCACACCUCUGUGGAAGAGCAAGUAUCAGUGUUCCUUCAUGAUGUGGGUCAUAACCAGAGGUUCAUAGUGAUUCACAACUUGUUUAGGAGAUCUAAUGAGACAAUUUCAAGAAUUUUUUAAGCAAGUCUUGUAUGCGACUGGUGAACUCAAAGGAGAGAUGGCCAAGGAACCAACUGGACAAACUCCUUCCAAAUCUGAAAGGGCCCUUGAUGGUACCCAUAUUUCAAGGUGAGCAGUACUCCUAGUUCAUGCCAUGACAUGCUUGUAUUGAUGAGAGUGAGACAUAAAAGUUUUUCCAUGCCAUCACAUGAUUGUAAUCGGCGCAAUAGAUGAUACUCAUGUGACUACUAGAGUGUCAAGGUCACGGGCUGGAGUAUACAGGGGUAGAAAGAACUACACAAGAUAGAAUGUUUGUUGUUGAUUUCGAUCUGAAGUUCACAUAUGUGUUGGCUUGCUGCAAAGGGUCAGCCCAUGAUACUAACAUUCUCGCCAGCAGCAUGUCUCGACUAUCGGGGUAAAUAUUCUCGGUGCUAAUUUCCACCUAGGAGAUGUUGGAUAUGCAUGACCGUUCAGGAAAAUCAGGUACCGUCUGAAUGAGUUAUGUUAUUGGAACUAUCCUAGGACCAUUGUCGAAUUGUUCAGUCUCAAAUGCUCUAGCCUUAGAGUUACAGUCAAGAGGGCAUUUGGUGCUUUGAAUAGUAUAUUUAAGAUCCUGAAUCAGAAUGCAUUCCACCCUUUCCCCACCAAAGUUUGGCUUGUUCUCGCGUGUUGCAUUCUCCAUAACUGGAUCUUAUAAUGGUGUUACGAUUAGUUUGUGUCGGGGGUGGAAGAUGUGAUGGCUGAUGAUGUUGAUGACCCCGACCAUGGAUAGUGUGGAGGCACGUGACAAUGAACCUUAUAAUAGCAAAAGGCUGACGUGAACUGAGGCAAUGUGGGCCAGAAGAAGAAGACCCCAUUGAGCUAUGCUACUAUUAAAUUUAUACUACCAUUUGUUAGAAGCUAGGAUGGACAAUCUUGUGUUUAGUGGCUAGGACCAAAACGGUGUUAAUUUGGUAUUGUCCAUGUACUGUACUGCGUGAUAAUGUAACCACCAGUGAGAAGGAAUGACCACAACAUUAGACCAUGCACCAACCAAAUAUCGUGUUUUGCACCCUCAUAGCCAUAACAUCAAACCAUUGUCAACCCAAGGUCAAGCAUCAAAUGACCACGUGAUACAAUGCAGACAACCAAAACCAUGUGCACAACAUAGUUUGUAGCAUGUAUUUUACUUAGCCAGACUGAACCUAGCCACGGAUGCAAAUAUCCCAAAAUCGAUGCAGGUAACCAAACAACCCCGGUGACUCCAAUCUUCAAUAGGUGAUGUGCGAGUGGGUGCGCACGUGUGUAUGGUGUGCAUGUGUGUGCAUCUACAUGCACAACAUCUCUUCGAGAAAAUGGAUGACGGUUGUUUCUUGUUACACAUUUCCUGCUUUUAUUGACUUAAUCCGGCAUGUUGUAUCAAAUAUUUGUUUGUUGGAAUACCACGUCGAAUCACCAAACAUCUUGCGAUUGAAUCAACGGAUUACUAUUUUCGUGCACCUCCUUCCUUAGUUCUACUCAGUUUUCCCCCGGCCAUCUAACAAUGCUCACUUUUUCCCUCCUCCACUCGCCCGUGCCUUACAAAAGGCCAAAUCGUGCCUUGCCAUCCGGUCUAAGACUUUGUGUCACGACCGGAUUUUCGGGAUAACAAUUUCCCAGAAAACGGCCUCUAUGCUCACCAGCCCCAGGAUUACUGUUAGCUGAUGAGACACCAACUUGAUUUAAGAGUUCCAAGCAAGGUACAAAAAUUAUGUAGUACAAGACCAUUGUGGCCUAGGAGUACAACAUUGGGUUUCUAGUGGUUGAUGGCGGAAGCGGUUUGAGGUACAUCUGCGUCUAUGGGACUCCAUUUCCCACAAGAACAGCUGACCAGGAUAACUCCUAUCUUCGCGAGGCUGCUAUCGUCAGAAAGCAGGUUCCGGGGCUGUCGUCGCGAUGCUUAUCUCCAGGCAAGGAAUCUGGCCAAGACAAUAGCCAGGGACAAGCCAGUGAGUACGUUUGAAUGUACUCGCAAACAUUCAGAACACGGGUAUAAUAUAAUAAGAGAUAAUCAUACUCCGAAACAUUUUUAUGACGAUAAGUCUGCCAUGAAUUUAACGAAAAUCUGCGAUGCACGUGUGCAGAGAAAAUAUGGACAUGCAAUACGGAGGUAAAAGAAAUGCACUGAACGAGUGUCUAAAAUGACUCCUCGAAAGGUUGCAAAUAACUUAACAAUGCCGCAGUCGGGCAUCUGAGCGACACCACAUAAAGGGCUUAUAAAAGAUAGAUAAACAACAAGCAUGCCGCAGUCGGGCGUCUGAGCGAGACCACAUAAAGGGCUUAUAAAAGAUAAAUAAACAACAAGCAUGCCGCAGUCGGGCGUCUGAGCGACACCACAUAAAGGGCUUAUAAAAGAAUAAUCACAGUGAAUAUCCAGGAGGUAGAACCAUCUCAGGGAUACUCAAUAAAGUACAUAAUGUAAAUGGUUAGUCCAUAAUAACAACAAUAAUAAAACAUGAUCCUCCGAUGUCACAGGUCAUAAACAAAAAUCUAGUUUAGCCGUUUCUCCAUCCGAAGACCGUUACUAUGAUCUAUCUCAGACUGAAGUCCUUACUCAUGAACAUGGCUAUCCAAAUGGAUAUGACCUCUGCAGAGGGUGUACUUUCCACCCACGAGUAACGGAUUUAAUUAGUCCUUCAGGACUAAUCCCGUCUACGGCCUUUUAAUUGAAAACACGCCUGACCUGCUAACACCAGCUUAACUCACCGGUGUCUGGAAUCACCCACGACACCUGCCAAGCAAAACUCUAAGUGGGGAGGCUACAACCUCGACGUAGCAUGGGAUCAAAUUUAUAUACGCGCGCUCUAAGGGGUGCCCCCCUCUCGGUCCCAACCGAAAACACCCAUGCCCCCGGACCAGGUGGCAUGCCUACCGGAUGCACCCGGUAUCUUCCACCAUGGCCUCUCUGUACGGUGUGUGCUUUGGCAAGGGGUUGACAACUUACCGAACCAUACCCCGUCUGCGACAGGGACAAGUGGCAGUACAAACAAUUUGGGAAGAUACUGAUCAAGACUCGACCUACGACCGACUCAGGUGGUCCAAGCAUUCUCCGAAUAAUCAGCAUAACCGACAAAGUUACCAUUAAAGGAAUAAAUCACCACUCAUCAAGCCUCACCAUGCCAUACCGGACAUACUCGUCUCGACGAGGAACUAGGGACAAGCUCGUGUCUACCCAAGACCACGACUUUCCCGGCUUCCUUCCGGUAUGCACGAGGAGCUCACGAGGAUGAUCCAAAACACUAGCGUAUCCAUUGCUGACCACAAAAUAUCUCCAAAAAAAACACUCAUGCACGAGACUUUAUCGUUACAUAAAGUUAACGCAUACUCCAAGUCAAAUGGUGUUGUAAUCGUAUCAGAACACCACAACAAAAUAUUAUGCCAGAGUUCAGAAAUGCUUGCCUUCAAGAGUAUGUAAAGGAUGCACUUUUUGAAAGCUUUCCCUCUCUCCAAAAUCCUAUUUUGAGAAAUAUUCAAAUAACAAUUAUUUCAAACACAGUACAAAAAGUUGUCUCAAAUAUUUUGGGAAUAAAUCUUAAAAUAAACUAGAUGGAAUUUGAGAGAGGUAGGAAAAAGAAUCAACUCAUUUGGAGUUUUAUUUUAAAAGUUAUAGCCAGUCAAAGCUUGGUCAAAUCUCUGUUUUUAAAUAAAACCAGAAAAGAAAACGUUUCGGAAGAAAUGCGCUUUCGCAGUAGAGGAGACGUACUCAGGACGUCCGCGCCUUCACUUAAUCAGAGGGGACGGACGCGCGGGUCACUGACAGUGGGUCCAGAGGGCCCACUGGUCAGGUUUGACCGUUCUUCCCUCCCUCCUUUCUCUCUCUGCCCGAACGGUGGCGGCCUCCGGCGAUCGCCGUCGACGAACGGCGGCUCUUCGAAGGCACCUGAGGGCAGGGAUGGACUCGCUAGGUCGGGGCGGUCCUCUCGGUGGUCGCUGGGUCGUCGGGAGUGGAAGAAAUCGCCCACGGCGGAGGGGGCUACGGUGGUGAAGUGGUUUUUGGGCUCCGGUGGUCUCCGAUCAAGGUUGGGUAGUUGGGCAGCUCCGCAAGGACAAGGGGAAGCUACUGGUGGCGUCGGUUGGGCGAGAGAGUGGCUGGCUGCGAUGUAUUUCACCGGAGCUCGGCGGCGGCCGAACCGGCCGGAGUUGGGGGAGAUGGCCUUGACCGGUCAAUCUAAGUCUAGGGGAGAACCAGGGGAAAGGUAUGAGGUCGCUUGAGGUCUUGCACGAGCUCGGGGGUCCCUUAAAUAGGCGCUCGGGGUUGGGCCGCGGCGGCUGGGGAUAAGAUCGCCGGCGACAGCCGUUCUGUAGCUGCAGGGCGGCGUGGCGGCGACGAGCGCGUGCCGACGAGCUUCGGGAUAAGACCGGGCUGUUCACGGGGGCAGCUGGCGCGCUGGGGUGGCUUGGGCGGCGUCGUCCAUGUCAGAGGUUCGCUGCCGACGCCGGCGUGCCGCCAAGAGUUCUGCCAGCGGCGCUGUAGGGAGACAGGGGUGGCGUGGAGAGUGGGCAAGCUAGUGCGCGGUUCAGCGGGUGAGCAGGGGCCAGGGACGGGUCGCGUCGAGUGUGGCAGUGCGGCGCGGCGGCUCAGUGCGCGCGCGUGCAAAACGUGCGCUCUGGGCGCGCCCAGAGCACGCACGGAACCUGCUCGACGAAAUGCCAGGGCGGUCUAGCGCGAGAGGGUGGAGCUGGCAAUUAACAGGACUAGGCUAAAGAUAGCUGGGAGUUCAGUGGACAUGGUUGCUAGGUCAAUGGAGCAAGAUCAGAGUGCAAACUAGAAAACAUGCCCAAGAUUGACUGUGCACCCCAGGUGUUCGAUAGAAUGCCAAAAGCAUCUAGGCAACUCUUGGAGUGGCCAAACUCUCUAGAUCAGGGUCUCUUUAGGUGUGGAAGAUGAUGGUAAGAUCAUAUGGACAAAACCAGAAACUUGUUAGUGCAAGAUUUGCAAAACCACAGUUUUGGACAGAAAGAAAAAGGGUUUAUAGCAUGCACUUAAAAACCUCCAAUGAGUCCACUCUCCUGGACUUAAGGGUUUUGAAGGAAGGGUCAAAAGCAGGAAAAAGGUCAUGGGCAUUGGAGCAAAAUAAAAUAGAGUUGCUGUACAAAUCACCAAAUUGGGCCAAAAUGAAAAAGAGGGUGAUUCACUCAAAUUUUUCAAAGAACAUCACUGGGUUUUUGCAUGAAGAUGAAUUGUAUGCAUCCACUGACAUCUCCAAACACUUGGAAGAAUUUUUAAAGACAUAUUUAAAUGGGUUGUAGUGCAAAAGUGCCCACUGGACCAGAUUGGAAAAGUUGGUGUAGAGCCCAAAAUCUCCAAUGGCCAACAGAUAUUUUUGCAUAAAAGUGAUGUGGAAACAUCACAUGACCUCCCCAAAUUUUGGUGGAAUAUUUAAAGGCAUUUGUCAAAUGGUUGCAGUGCAAAAUAGGCUCUAAAUUUUCUAAAAGAUCAUUUUUAAAAGGAUAAAGCUCUGAGAAACAAUUAUGCAAAUAAAUCCCCUGAUAAAGAAUUGUUUUUAUAAAGAGGGCAUAUAAGUCCAACAAUACCUUUUGAAAAAAAAAUACUAGAGGUAAAAAUCCAAAAUAACAAAAGGGGUAAAUCUUGACAGAUGGAAAAGUUUUAUUUCCUGGCAAAAUUUUAAUAAAUAAAAACAAGGUCAAAAUUUUGGGGUGUCACACUUUGACCGUCACUACGCCCAGUAUCGAAGCGUGAGACCAACUUGUAGGGCCGCAUGCAUUCGCAUCGCCGGCUCUUUCCUGCGCACAGUCACGUGGGACCAACAUUUUGGCCGCAUGCGUUAUUGAUUUCGCGUCGCCGGUUGAUUCCUACAAUCUACGGCCGAUGCGUGGGACCCAGCAGUAUGCAAAACUAAAUCAGUGUCGCCUGCUUUUCCACACAAGCGACUGGCUCGCGUUUUCACACAUAGGGAGUCGCGUUGUCGGCGCCCAUUAAUGGUGGCUUAACGCUGCAACCCACCCUCUCCCAUGCCAUAUAUGCGGGCCCCCAUCCCAUUUCGCAGCUCGCCUCCACAACCUUAUCCGCCGCUGGCGCCACUGCAGCACAAACCCUUACCCUCCUCCCCUUCCGCAUCCAUGGUGUGGAUGCGCAGCAUCACUCUCGGUGAUGUUGAGCUUCUCGCCAUCUGCGGCAUCCCUGAGCCGCCGAACACGCGUCUGCCGGUGGGACGUGUUGUGAGUAUGGGAGACUUCUGGUGGAGCCUAUCCCCGCCGUCGGCACGGUCGCCUUUGCGCGCCUCGUCCGUAGGUUUCGGGCAGACGCCGGAGGAGAGGGCACAGCCGGACUUCGAGCCAAACAACGCACAUUCUCGACCAGGGUCGCGCCACUCGGAUCCGGCACUUCGAUGGCCCCAACCCAAUGUCGCGCAAAAACAUUAGGAAUGUAGGUAGUAUUAGGAAUGUGCUUUCUGGGAUGGCCUUAGCUUCGAGGCCGUCAUUCCCACGUGCCGCUCGCAGGUUGACGAUGAAAAUUAGUUUUGGAUUAGUUUUGCAGGUCGUCAUUGUCGCGUUAUUCGAAUAAAUUAGUCUCGUGAUAUGCUAAAACUGAAUUGUAUUCCGAGUUAUUUAAUGCAGUUGAAAUGAAUCAUGAUUUGUAUGAAUUUCAUUUGAAUGUGUGUACAAAUCAUAAAUAAGCGCUCUAGUUUGGUCCUGUAAAUUAUGAAAAUGCCAGUUUUACCUUCCACGUUAGGAGUGUAUGUAGUAUCCACGAAAAAAUGUCAAACUCCAAACCUUUUUAUAUGAUUAUGCAUGCAUGCAAUUUUGACAACCAUAUGAAAGAAAUUAUAGAAAAUAAAACAAGGCUCGAAAGUUGAUAUCCUUUUGCAUCGAGGCCUUGUAUAUGCAAUGGCUUGUGGGAAAAAAUGAUAAACUGACAAUACCACAAACUAAAAGAUAUUUUUCCAUUUUUCUAGUACCCAAUAUGACCUUUUCUGUGAAGCAAGUUCCAUAAAUAAUACUCAUUCUGUUCCAGAAUAUAAGGUGUAUUGGUUUCUGUGCAAGACAACCAUUUGAAUGUUUGAUAAAAAUAUAGAAUAAAAUAAUAACAUGUAUAAUACCUAAUAAGUAAAAUAUGAAACUACUUUUCAUGUUGGAUCAAAUAAUAUAAAUGUUGUAUUGUGGACCUUGAUAUAUUUUUCCAAAAACUCGGUCAAACAUGCACUCGUUUGACUUUUGAAAAAACAAAUACACUUUUUUUCAAAAACAAAUACACCUUAUAUAAAGGAACAGAGGGAGUAUUCUAAAUUGUGUCCUUUCAAUUUCCACCUAAAGUAGACCACAUGGGAUUCCAACUGCCAAUUUCAUAAUGAUAUUGCCAUAUUUCAUCGGUUUAAUGAAUUUCUGGCGAUUUACAUCAAGUAAUUCAAAUUUGAACUACAAGUGUGCUCUAGUUUGGUCCUAUAAAUUCUAAAAAAAUGUUUUUAACUUCUACAUUAUAAAUUUAGACAUUAGGAAUAUAGGCAGUAUUCAUAAAGAAAGGUCAAAUCCCAAACCAUUUUAUAUGAUUAUUCAUGCAUGCAAUUUUGAUAACAAUCUCAAAGAAUUUAUAGAAAAUGAAAAAAAGGCUCAGAAAUUGAAAUCAUUUUGCAUAGAGUCCUUUCUUGUGCAAUAGCUUGUGGGAAAAAGAUAAACUGACAAUACUACAAACAAAAGGUUAAUUUUCCAUUUUCUAGUGCCCAAUAUGACUUUUUUGUGAAGCAAGUGUCAUAAAUAAUAUUCUAAAUUGUGCCCUUUCAACUUCACCUAAAGUAGACCACAUGGCAUUCCAACUGCCAAAUUUUCAUGAAUAUCAGAGUUAUAUUACCAUAUUCCAUCGAUUUAUUGAAUUUUUGGCGAUUUACAUCAAGUAAUUCAAAUUUGAACUGCAAGUGUGCUCUAGUUUGGUCCAAUAAGUUCUGAAAAAUCAUUUUUACCUUCCACAUUAAGAAUGUAGGUAGUAUCCACAAAGAAAACUCAAAUUCCCAACCAUUUUAUAUGAUUAGUCAUCCAUGCAAUUUUGACAUUAAUCUGAAAAAAUAUCAAAAAUGAAAAAGGGCUCAAAAAUUGAAAUCCUUUUGCAUGGAGGCCUUUUCUGUGCAAUGGCUUGUGGGAAAAAUUAUAAACUAACAAUACCAUAAACUUGAAAAAAAACUUCACAAAUUGACCUAUCUCAUAGGAAGAUCAAUGACUUUCAACCAAGAUCACCAUGCCCAUGGGCAUAUUCAUGGCAUAGUACAUGAUAACAUGACCAUUUUUGGAACUAAUAAGGGUGUGACCAUUGUGAUCAAUAAUUCCAAAAAAAAGAUUGAAGAUUUGGUUAAAAAAAUUAUAGUGCCCAAGAUGACUAUUUUUUGUGAAGCAAGUGCCAUAAAUAGUGCCCAAGAUUUGGUUUAAAACAGUUCUAGUGCCCAAGAUGCCCAGUCGUUUCGUUUAUGAGUAUAUGCUCGGUCGAAUAUGAUCCCAAGAGUAUAAGUACUGUACGCUCCACUUCGCGGCCCACUCUUCGCCUCAGCUACAAACCGGGCCCUAGCUGUCCGGCUGGCAAGAGCAAAAGCCAAAGAGCGGAGGGGACAUGAAAAAGACCGAAGGGGGCUCGGACGAAACCGAAUCGACACCCUCUGCAUAAAUCUUGCACCGCCAAAGCCAACCAUUCGAUAUAUCUGCGCCGACUAACCUUGUCUUUUACACGAUCAUUUUCGUGGGGAACCCCCCUCCUCGCCCGGAGGCUCGGAGGCUACACCCAGCGGGUGUGCCGGCUCGCCCCGCUGGGAAAAUGCCACGCUGGUUGCAGGCCCACCGCCGCUUACAACCAGCAUCCUCGAUGCCACCGUCUGCUCCAACAAAAGCAAAGACUCUCCGCCCGACUCUUCGAGUCACCCGGAGGCUCGGAGGCUAGACACAGCAGGUGCGCUGGCGCCCCCCACUGGAAACAGCAGCCGACGGACUCCGCGUCCGCACCCGACAGGGCUCCGCGCCCACCAGCCGGCGGACUUCACGUCUGCGCCAGGCAGGGUACCACGCCCACCAGCCGACGAACUCCGUGUCCGCGCCAGGCAGGGCCCACGCCCACCAGCCGACAAACUCUGAGUCCGCGCCCAACAUCCUCGACGCCACCGUCUUCUCUAGGAACAACGAAGACCCUCCGCCCGACUCUUCGAGUCGCUCGGAUUGUACACCUACACCGUUGGACAGAGAACCAGCUACACCCCAUCUAACCCCAACCCCAGCAGAUAGUAACCCACUUCUAGUUCACACAACACCAUGUCCACCACAGAGUACCCCCACACGAGCAGUUUGUAAGGCAACUGCAGUGCCCAAAGCACGAAGACCACCACAACAAACCCAAACUCCACGUUUAAAGUAGAAGAGCAGCUGUUCUCAUGUCAGAUUCCAUAGCUAUGAUGCAUAAUCCUUUGCUCUUGCAUCACUGUAUUUACUCAUACCAACUAAUUUUGAAUUUGAAGGAUCUAAUUGAAACUCCAAUGCCGCGAUAGGGAUGUAUUAAACCUAUUUCUUUAACUGGAUUGUUGUUCUAACUUCUUACUCUGUAUUGAUUUCAGUUUUAGUUGUAUAAAUAGUUGUGUUCUCAUGACGUGCACAUUACAAGUGUUGUUAGUACUAUGUAGUUUCUCACACUUAUAUUUUGUCUAUGUUGUUGUCUUAAAAAGAUAUUAUUUGAACUGUGUCUCUAUCUUGAUUUGGCAACAUAAACUAGAAUGAUGUAGACAAUACAGUGACCAUAGUACAUAGAUAUAUGUUUGUUUCAUGAUGUUAUCCUGUCCACUUUACUACUGAACUGGUUUACCCAAAUGAGUUUCAUUUGUACCCACGUACUAUAGCCACGACCUCUUCAAGAAGUUGCAACUCCUCAAGCAAGGCACCAAGUCCAUUGAAGAGUAUUACAAGGAAAUGGAGAUUGCCAUGAUACGAGCCAAUGUCACGAAAGAUGAGGAGCAAACUAUGGCACGUUUCUUGAAUGGACUCAACCAUCCUAUUAAGAAGAUCGCCAACUUCCAACCUUACUCCAACCUCCUCGAGCUAGUGCACCAAGCUACCAAGGCGGAGCGACAAGUGCAAGACGACUACAAGUAUGCCAAGUACUCUUCCAAGACCUACGGCUCCUACAAUCAAGCUUCAACGACUACGACGCCUUCUUCCUCGACCAAAGCUUCACCAAGCUACAACGACAAGUCAAGCUACAAGAAAGCUUUGUCAUCUUCGACACCUUCAAGUCGCCCUUUGAUACGUCUCCGUCGUAUCUAUAAUUUUUGAUUGUUCCAUGCCAAUAUUAACAACUUUCACAUACUUUUGGCAACAUUUUAUAUGAUUUCUUGGACUAACCUAUUGAUCCAGUGCCCAGUGCCAGUUCAUGUUUUUUUCCAUGUUUUUUGUUUCGCAGAAAAUCCAUAUCAAACGAAGUCCAAAUGCGAUCAAAAUUUACGGAGAAUUAUUUUGGAAUAUAUGUGAUUUUGGGGACUUGGAAUCAAUGCAAACGGGGGCUCACAGCCCCCACAAGACACCAGGGUGCACCCCAGGGGCCAGGCGCGCCCUGGUGGGUUGUGCCCUCCUCGGAUGUCGGUUGGGUCUCUAUUUCGGGCGCAAGGAAGCUUAUAUCCGAAAAAAAAUUGUGUUAAAUUUCAGCCAAUCGGAGUUACGGAUCUCCUGGAAUAUAAGAAACGGUUUUCGGCCAGAUCUGGGGAACGCGAAACAGAAGAGAACAGAGAGGGAGAUCCAAUCUCGGAGGGGCGAGACCAGAGGGGGAACUCUCCUCCCAUCUAGGGGGAGGCCAAGGAAUAAUAAGAAGGAGGGGGGCUCUCUCCCCCUCUCUCCCGGUGGCGCCGAAGUGCCGCCGGGGCUAGGAUUGUGACGGCGAUCUACAUCAACAAUCUUGCUACCAUCAACACCAACUCUAUCCCCCUCUAUGCAGCGGUGUAACACCCCUUCUCCCCGCUGUAAUCUCUACUUAAACAUGGUGCUCAACUCCAUAUACUAUUUCCCAAUGAUAUAUGGUUAUCCUAUGAUGUUUGAGUAGAUUCGUUUUGUCCUGUGGGCUAAUCGUGAUCUUGGUUGAUAUGAGUGUAUAUUUUAUUUAUGGUGUUGUCCUGCGGUGCUCUCUGUCUCACGCAAACGUGAGGGAUCCUCGUUGUAGGGUGUUGCAAUAUGUUCAUGGUUUGCUUAUUGUCGGUAUUGCGGGGGUGACAACAGCCUAAACAUGGAUAAGUGGGUUAUGGCGUAUGGGAGUAAAGAGGACUUGAUACUUAAUGCUAUGGUUGGGUCUCACGACCUUAAUGAUCUUUAGUAGUUGCAGAUGCUUGCUAGGAGUCCAAUCAUAAGUGCAUAUGAUCCAAGUAGAGAAAGUAUGUUAGCUCAUGCCUCUCCCUCAUACAAAAUUACAAGAAUGAUUACCGGUACUUGUUAUCGAUUGCCUAGGGACAAAUGACUUUCUUGUUGACAAAAGCUAUCCACUUUUAUUACCUUGCAAUUUAUUCGUAGUUUUAUUCUCGCAAAGUACUCGUAGUUUUAUUCUUGCAAAAUAGUUUCAUACUUGUUUUAAGUAAAGCAAACAUAAAGUGUGCGUAGAGUUGUAUCGGUGGUCGAUAAAACUUGAGGGGAUAUUUGUUCUACCUUUAGCUCCUCAUUGGGUUUGACACUCUUAUUUAUCGAAGAAGGCUACAAACGAUCCUCUAUACUUGUGGGUUAUCAUCCUUCCACUACAAGCAACCUCAAGCCAAGAGCUUCAUCAUCAAUGACUCCAACCGAUGAGACCGACAAGACAAGCUCCAUAAAGUGUUUUAGUUGCCAAGGCUGAGGCCACAAGACAUACCAAUGUCCCACUCGGCGCACCAUGAUUGCCAACGACGACGACACCUAUGACUCUAUGAGCGAAGAAGAAAUGGAAGCCCUUGAGCACGUGGCCAUGCACCGACAAGUGAAUGAGGAUGAACACAAUCAAGUCUUUUGUGACAAUGAUUUGAGUCCCGCUCUUGUUGUCUCCAAGGUCUUGAUGCUUCAACACCAACAAGAGGAAGACCAACGUUGCCACAUCUUCCACACCAAAGCAGGCAUCAAUGGUUAUUCCGUGAAGGUCAUCAUCGAUGGAAGAAGUUGCCACAAUUUGGCAAUUGAAGAUCUAUGUUUCAAGCUACAAUUAGUCAAGAUGAAGCAUCCUCACCCAUACAAGGUCCAAUGGCUUAGCGACUCCGACACCAUUCAAGUUGAGCAUACCGUUCAAGUCUCAUUCAAGAUUGGCCCAUAUGAAGACACCUUGGAGUGUCAUGUGGUUCCCAUGUCCAUUUUCCACCUCCUACUUGGACGGCCUUGGCAAUUUGACCGCGGGAUCAUCCACAAUGGGGGAACCAAUCAAUAUAGCUUCAAGAUGAAGGGAUAGGAGUAUGUGCUACGACCCAUGUCGCCAAGUCAAGUGAUCGCCGACAAGCAAGCAUCCACCCAUCAUGGAGAGAAUAGUGAGAGAGUGACCCGCCAAAAAGAGAGUGAGCGCCACAAGCCAAAAUUGAGUGCCUCCACGAUGAGCGACAAGAAAAAGCCACCAAACGAAAGCUGGGAGAAGUGUGUGAGAACCCAUCUAGUGUCAUACACUAUGUCCUAGUAUGAAAGGAUGAAGCAACACGGACUAACAAUUCUCACCAUCUACCUUUAGUGUUGUCUUACUUGUCACAGGAAUUCGCGGACGUCUUCCCUGAUGAGCUACCUUCGGGUCUACCUCCACUACAAGUCAUCGAACACCGCAUCGACCUCAUUCCCGGCGCACCCCUACCGAACAAGGCACCGUACCGCGUCAACCUAGAUGAGACAAAAGAAAUCCAAAGGCAAGUACAAUGCCUCAUUGACAAUGGGCAUGUACGUGAAAGCUUAAGUCCUUGUGCCGUUCUGGUUAUUCUUGUGCCUAAAAAAGAUGGUAGUUUUUGCAUGUGUUUCGAUUGCCGUCCCAUAAAUGCUAUCACCGUUAGAUACAGACACCCUGUUCCACGCCUUGAUGAUAUGCUAGAUGAGCUUGGCGGAGCCACCAUUUUCUCAAAAAUUGAUCUUAAAAGUGGCGACUAUCAAAUACGCAUUCAAGAGGGUGAUGAAUGGAAAACCGCUUUCAAAACCAAAUUUGGCUUGUAUGAGUGGUUAGUCAUGCCUAUGGAUUUAUCCGAAGCACCCGCACUUUCAUGCGUGUGAUGCAUUAUGUUCUUCGAAAAUACAUUGACAUAUGUGUUGUGGUAUACUAUGAUGAUAUUCUUGUGUUUAGGGAAUCUCUUGAAGAUCAUGUUGUGCAUCUUAGGGGUGUUUUGCAAGUUCUUAGAAACGAGCGCCUUUAUGCUAACAUGAAGAAAUGCAUUUUUGGUGUUGACAAGCUUGUUUGAUUGGGAUUUGUUGUGUCCUCUAAGGGUGUUCAUGUAGAUGAAGCUAAAAUAUAUGCUAUUAAAACUUGGCCACAGAUAGCUAAUUUGCAACAAGUGCGUAGCUUCCUUGGUCUAGCUGGUUUCUACCGUCGAUUCAUUAAGGACUUUAGCACUGUUGCAUCACAUUGCACGCAUUGAGUAAAAAGAAUGCAUCAUUUGUUUGGGGGCCAUCACAAGAUACCGCAUUUCAUGAACUUAAGAAUUUGCUUACACGUGCUCCAUUACUUGCAUUACCCAACUUUGAUAAAACUUUUGAAGUACAUUGCGAUGCUACUGGUAAUGGCAUAGGAGGUGUGUUAAUGCAAGAAAAGUGCCCCAUAGCUUACUUUAGUGAGAAACUUUCUGGAGCGCAACUUAACUACCCCAUUUAUGACAAGGAGUUAUAUGCUUUAGUGCGAGUUUUGUGUGUAUGGAAGCAUUAUCUUCGCCCUCAUGAAUUUGUCAUCCAUACGGAUCAUGAAACGCUUAAAUACCUUAAAGGUCAAACCAAAUUGAAUAAGCGGCAUGCCAAAUGGAGUGAGUUCAUUGAGUCAUUUCCUUAUGUUAUCAAGUAUAUCAGGGGUAAGGAAAAUGUUGUGGCGGACGCUCUAUCCCGCAAAUGCAUGCUUGUAACACAACUUGAAUUGAAUGUCAUAGGAUUUGAGCACAUAAAAGACUUGUAUGCGCAUGAUGUUUCCUUUGCUACACCUUAUACUAAGUGCCAAGCAAAAACAUUUUGGGAUCGAUAUUAUCUCAAAGAUGGCUACCUCUUGUGGACUAACAAGCUUUGCAUACCCCGAGCCUUCUCUUCGUAUGUUGCUUUUGCAGGAAGCUCAUGGUGGAGGACUUAUGGGACAUUUUGGCCGAAACAAGACGUAUGCCACGCUCCCCAACAACUACUUUUGGCUAAAGAUGUUUCGUGACGUCUAACACUACACCAACCGAUGCUCUACAUGUCGCAAAGCUAAGUCUAAAGCUCAAUCCCAUGGUCUUUAUAUGCCCCUUCUUAUUUCGUAUCACCCAUAGGAAGAAUUAGUAUGGACUUUGUGCUUGGUUUUCCUAGAAUACAAAAUGGCAAAGAUUCCGUAAUUGUUGUUGUGGACUGUUUCUCCAAGAUGGCACAUUUUAUUCCAUGCAACAAGAUAGAAGAUGCUUCACAUGUUGUGAAUCUCUUUUGUAGGGAAAUCUUGCGUCUACAUGGAGUGCCUAAGACUAUUGUUUCGGACCACGACGUCAAGUUCCUUAGCUACUUUUGGAAUACGUUAUGCGCCAAGUUCGGAAUCAAGCUCCUAUUCCCUUCGGCAUACCAUCCACAAACCGACGACCAAACGGAGAUCACGAACGGACGCCAUCCACUCUCCUUAGCGUGUUGAUCAAGAAGAACAUCAAGGAGUGGGAGGAAUGCUUGCCCAUCGCUGAGUACACCUACAACUGAGCAAGACACUCUACUACCGGCAAGUCCCCCUUCGAGGUCGUCUACGGUUUCAAUAAGUUGUCCCCAUUGGACAUUCUACCGCUACCUCUACAAGAGCGCAUCAACAUGGAUGCGAGUGCCCGAGCGAGCUAUCUCAAGAAGAUGCAUGAAGAUACAAGGCACACCAUUGAGUGCCAAGUACAAUGACUCGCGACCAAGGUCAACAUCAACAAGCAACCCAUGAUAUUCAACAUUAGAGAACUUGUGUCGUUACACCUUCGCAAGGACCGCUUCCCCAACGAGCGCAAGUCCAAGCUACUACCUCGAGCCGACGGACCCUCCAAGGUGCUAGCUUGCUACAACAACAAUGCCUACAAGAUCGAGAAUCUUGAUAAUAGAAAUAUGUGCUACAAAAUGUUAAGGGUGUACCCAAAUGUUUUAAUGUCAUUGCAUGAUCUUCUAGUUGAUGAUUUUGGAUUGCAAUCAAGUAUAGGCAUGACAUCAUUGAAGUAAUUAGACACGUGUCUUGUGGAUUGAUGGGGCCCCACAUUCUUUCUCCCAAGUUAAAAAUCUUUUGUGAGGUCAACUGAAACAAUUCAUCGGAAGUUCAGAGAAAUGUUGGAUUGUUUGUGCAAGUUAUUAUCCAACAACAUAAAACCCACAUAUUAUUCUUUCUCAUCUCCCCGUGAAAGAACUAAAGAUAAUCGAUUUGGUCACAUUUCAAGGGUGCUAUUGGAUCAAUAGAUGGAUUCCACAUACAAGUUUUAGUUCCAGAAUCAUACGUUAUUACCCACGUAGGUCAGUAUGGAUUUAGUUCCCAAAAUGUGAUGGCCAUUUGUGACUUUGACAUGAGAUUUACUUUUCAUUGUUGUUGGAUGGUCGGGCUCGACACAUGACACAACGGUUUUAAAUCAUCCACAUGGUACUACCAAACUAUAUUCAUAUUUAACACAAUUUAGUUUCAGUUUUUCUUUCGGUAAUGCUAACGUUGUUAUAAUCCGUAGGAGAAUACUACCUCGUUGAUUCAGGCUAUCCAGACUGAAGUGGAUACCUUGCUCCAUGUGACAGUGUCCUAGACUAGGGGGUACCCACCACGUCGUCUCCCGACCAGGUGGAUCGGGCCGAGGACCCCCAUGGCGGUUCACUAAUGGGCUACUUCGGGCAGUCGAUGACAUACAUGAGGAAGAUUCCACAAGACUUGGUGAUCAAGACAAGUACUCCUCUCCACCAACGUAUUCGACUAGGACUCUUGUUAUCCUAGGCCUUUGGUACAUUAUAUAAGCCGAGGCUGGGCUAGUUGAUAGAUCAUUAUGAUAUUCAUCCAUCAUACCAUUAGGGUUUUGACCACAACAUAAGAUCUCGAGGUAGAUCAACUCUGUACUUGAUACUCCAUCAAUAUAAACAAGAGCAGGACGUAGGGUUUUACCUCCAUCAAAGGGGGCGAACCUGGGUAAAACAUCGUCUCCUUUGUUCCUGUUACCAUUGAUCCGAGAAUCCACAUCUCGAGACCCCCUACCCCGAGGUCUACCGGUUUUGACACCAACAAUGGUGCUUUCGUUGAGAGUUCCGCUAUGAGAUCGAUGAAGGAGCAAUGGCCAGCCUGCAGAUCAACUACGACGUCGGUAUCUUCGUUGCCGGCUUGAUUAGUCACCUUGAUUCGACCGAGGACUGCACUUCGUCUCAGAUCAUCAUGUUCGGACGAGGGCCUUCAUCAACAUCAACUCCGAUCUUAUCAAGAUCUUGGAGAAAUCAUCCAUGGAGCUCGGGGGCUCAACGUCAACAUUGCUCUCGAGCGACCGUGCUAUUUUUCUGGACAGCGAAAUUGUAUCCGCCGCCACCGCCUCCUCAAGCAUCGCUUUGACGAUUACUUCUGUGGAUUUGUGCGGAAUUGAGUCUACAACAACCCUGUAAAAUUUUGUCGCGUUCCGAUGGAGGAAUCUCCGAUGAUCUCCGAAAUACCGGAGCCCUGUUGAAUUUGGACGGGAAUCUGGACGAGUUUAGGGCGAGGAGUCCAGUGUCCAGCUUGGAUAUCAUUUGGAAUAUCCAACCAUUCAUCGGCUGCGCAAUUCCUAUAUCAACCACUCCUCAAAAUUUCAGCUCAAUCGGACCGUUCGAACUUUGGAAACUUCCGAUGAGUAUAUCAAUUUUCGGAUCUGUUUUCUGCGCGAAUAUGAAUCCGACCCGACUUCAUCUUUCUUCAUGAAUGGGAUACUAGACAACCUUUUUGUAGGAAUCUCUUUCUAGGGUAUUGUGUUUUGUUUCCAAACACAUGCUCACAAAUUUUGCUCCUCACCGGAGGUAAUCUUCACCGUCGCGCCGGUGUCAAACCAGGCCGACAACGUUGAUGCAUGGUUGCCGACCUGCGCUAGACGGGUCAUCGUUUCAUUGAGCCGAGCUCAACCUUAUCGGAUCAUCAUCUCGGCAAGCCGAACAAAAGUUUGGCAUCGCAAAGGCUAAAUCAUCACCAACAUCAUCGCCCCACAGAUGGCACGGAUCUGGCGCGCCGGCAUCGCCACACACUCAAUUCAUCAACCCGGCAUUCAGCGCGUCACAAGUUACGACGUGAGUCAGCAUGGCCGCGUUAUUGGGGAACGUAGUAAUUUCAAAAAAUAUCCUACGCACACGCAAGAUCAUGGUGAUGCAUAGCAACGAGAGGGGAGAGUAUUGUCCAUGUACCCUCGUAGACCGUAAGCAGAAGCGUUAUGACAACGCGGUUGAUGUAGUCGUACGUCUUCACGAUCGACCGAUCCUAGCACCGAAGGUACGGCACCUCCGCGAUCUGCACACGUUUGGCUCGGUGACGUCCCACGAACUCACGAUCCAGUAGAGUGUCGGGGAAGAGCUUCGUCAGCACGACGGCACGAUGACGGUGAUGAUGAAACUACCGGCGCAGGGCUUCACCUAAGCACUACGACGGUAUGACCGAGGUGGAUUAUGGUGGAGGGGGGCACCGCACACGGCUAAAAGAUCAAUGAUCAACUUGUGUGUCUAUGGGGUGCCCCUUCCCCCAUAUAUAAAGGAGUGGAGGAGGGGAGGGGCCGGCCCUCUCUAUGGCGCGCCCUAGGGGAGUCCUACUCCCACCGGGAGUAGGAUUCCCCCCCCCCCUUCCCUAGUUGGAGUAGGAGAGGAAGGGAAGGAGGAGUAGGAGAGAAGGAAAGGCCCCCCCCCAAACCUAUUCCAAUUCGGCCUCCUACCCAAGGGGGGCGCACCAGCCCCUUGUGGGCUGGUGUCCUUCCUUCUUAUGGCCCAUAAGUCCCAUAACUUCUCCCGGGGGGUUCCGGUAACCUCCCGGUACUCCGGAAAAAUGCCCGAACCACUCGGAACUUUUCCGAUGUCCGAAUAUAGCCUUCCAAUAUAUCGAUCUUUACGUCUUGUCCAUUUCGAGACUCCUCGUCAUGUCCGUGAUCUCAUCCGGGACUCCGAACAACCUUCGGUACAUCAAAUCACAUAAACUCAUAAUAUCGAUCGUCACCAAACGUUAAGCGUGCGGACCCUACGGGUUCGAGAACUAUGUAGACAUGAGCGAGACACGUCUCCGGUCAAUAACCAAUAGCGGAACCUGGAUGCUCAUAUUGGCUCCUACAUAUUCUACGAAGAUCUUUAUCGGUUAAACCGCAUAACAACAUACGUUGUUCCCUUUGUCAUCGGUAUGUUACUUGCCCGAGAUUCGAUCGUCGGUAUCUCAAUACCUAGUUCAAUCUCGUUACCGACAAGUCUCUUUACUCGUUCCGUAAUGCAUCAUUCCGCAACUAACUCAUUAGUCACAUUGCUUGCAAGGCUUAUAGUGAUGUGCAUUACCGAGAGGGCCCAAAGAUACCUCUCCGACAAUCGGAGUGACAAAUCCUAAUCUCGAUCUAUGCCAACUCAACAGGUACCAUUGGAGACACCUGUAGAGCACCUUUGUAAUCACCCAGUUACGUUGUGACGUUUGGUAGCACACAAAGUGUUCCUCCGGUAUUCGGGAGUUGCAUAAUCUCAUAGUCAUAGGAACAUGUAUAAGUCAUGAAGAAAGCAAUAGCAACAUACUAAACGAUCGAGUGCUAAGCUAACGGAAUGGGUCAAGUCAAUCACAUCAUUCUCUAAUGAUGUGAUCCCGUUAAUCAAAUGACAACUCAUGUCUUUGGCUAGGAAACUUAACCAUCUUUGAUUCAACGAGCUAGUCAAGUAGAGCCAUACUAGUGACACUCUGUUUGUCUAUGUAUUCACACUUGUACUAAGUUUCCGGUUAAUACAAUUCUAGCAUGAAUAAUAAACAUUUAUCAUGAUAUAAGGAAAUAUAAAUAAAAACUUUUUUAUUGCCUCUAGGGCAUAUUUCCUUUAGUCUCCCACUUGCACUAGAGUCAAUAAUCUAGUUCACAUCGCCAUGUGAUUUAACACCAAUAGUUCAUAUCACCAUGUGAUUAACACCCAUAGUUCACAUCGCCAUGUGACCAACACUCAAAGGGUUUACUAGAGUCAGUAAUCUUAGUUCACAUCGCCAUGUGAUUAACACUCAAAGAGUACUAAGGUGUGAUCAUGUUUUGCUUGUGAGAGAAGUUUAGUCAACGGGUCUGCCAUAUUCAGAUCUGUAUGUAUUUUGCAAAUUUCUAUGUCAACAAUGCUCUGCACGGAGCUACUCUAGCUAAUUGCUCCCACUUUCAAUAUGUAUCUAGAUCGAGAGUUAGAGUCAUCCAGAUCGGUGUCAAAGCUUGCAUCGACGUAACUCUUUACGACGAACCUUUUGUCACCUCCAUAAUCGAGAAACAUAUCCUUAUUCCACUAAAGAUAAUUUUCACCGCAGUCCUGUGAUCUACUCCUAGAUCACUAUUGUACUCCCUUGCCAAACUCAGUGUAGGGUAUACAAUAGAUCUGGUACACAGCAUGGCAUACUUUAUAGAACCUAUGGCUGAGGCAUAGGGAAUGACUUUCAUUCUCUUUCUAUCUUCUGCCGUGGUCGGGCUUUGAGUCUUACUCAAUUUCACACCUUGCAAUACAGGCAAGAACUCCUUCUUUGACUGUUCCAUUUUGAACUACUUCAAAAAUUUGUCAAGGUAUGUACUCAUUGAAAAAACUUAUCAAGCGUCUUGAUCUAUCUCUAUAGAUCUUGAUGCUCAAUAUGUAAGCAGCUUCACCGAGGUCUUUCUUUGAAAAACUCCUUUCAAAUACUCCUUUAUGCUUUCCAGAAAAUUCUACAUUAUUUCCGAUCAACAAUAUGUCCUUCACAUAUACUUAUCAGAAAUGAUGUAGUGCUCCCACUCACUUUCUUGUAAAUACAAGCUUCACCGCAAGUCUAUAUAAAACUAUAUGCUUUGAUCAACUUCCCUAAGGAUCCCUUCCCUCUUCCCCGCAUUGAUCAAAUCAUUGACGCCACCGCAAGUCACGACUCGCUAUGCUUCCUUGAUGCAUAUUCCGGAUACCAUAAAAUCAAAAUGAAGGAGUCCGAUCAAGCCGCAACAACAUUCAUCACACCAUACGGGCCGUUUUGCUUCAACACCAUGCCUUUCGGGCUCAAGAACGCCGGUGCCACCUACCAGCACAUGAUCGAAACAUGCCUCGAGAAACAGAUCGGCAAAACAGUGGAGGCCUACGUGGACGACGUUGUCAUCAAAACCAGACACGUCAAAACACUAAUAGACGACUUGCGUCUCACAUUCGACCACCUCCGCACAUACGACAUCAAGCUUAACCCGGAAAAGUGCGUCUUCGGCGUCCCCGCCGGUAAACUAUUGUGCUUCAUCGUUUCCAACAGAGGAAUUGAAGCAAAUCCAGCCAAAAUCCGAGCUUUGUCACAACUGGCCACGCCAACCGAACUCAAGCAGGUCCAAAAACUCGCUGGGUGCGUGGCAGCUUUAAGCCGCUUCAUCUCCAGGUUGGGAGAAAAGGCGCUGCCGCUCUAUCGCCUUCUACGGCGCACCGACAACUUCGAGUGGACAGACGCGGCGAUGGUCGGACUAGAAGAAAUAAAAGCCCUUCUGGCGAGCAACCCAAUCCUGGCCGCGCCAAACACCGGCGAGCCAAUGCUCUUAUACAUAUCAGCAACACACCAGGUGGUGAGCGCCGUACUCGUCGUCGAAUGAGAACAGGACGGACACAAAUUCCCGCUCCAGAAGCCGGUAUACUACGUAUCCACCGUCUUCACACCAUGCAAAUCCCGGUACCCUCAUUAUCAAAAAAUAGCAUAUGCAGUCUUCAUGGCAUCCCAAAAAUUUCGAAACUACUUUCAGGAGUGCUCUAUCACGGUGGCCUCCGAAGUGCCCCUCAAUGAUAUAAUUAACAACCGGGACGCAAUGGGCCGGAUUGCCAAAUGGGCCAUCGAGCUCCUGCCAUUCGACAUCACAUACAAACCACGUAGAGACAUCAAAUCCCAGGUACUGGCCGACUUUGUCGCCGAAUGGACAGAAGCCGAACUCCCUAAAGAGUACGGCGUGUAUUCCAACUGGAUGAUGCAUUUUGACGGCUCCAAGAUGUUGGCAGGGCUAGGGGCGGGAGUCGUAUUAACGUCCCCCAUAGGAGACAUCGUCCAGUACGUACUCCAAAUAUUAUACACGAACUCCAACAACGCAGCCGAAUACGAGGCCUUGCUACAUGGCCUCCGGAUGGCCGUAUCAAUGGGCAUACAACGCCUGGAGGUGCGUGGGGAUUCAAACCUCGCAAUAUCCCAAAUCAAUGGAGACUUUGAUGCCAACGACCCAAAGAUGGCAGCUUACCGCAAUGCUGUUUUGAAGAUGUCGGCUCGGUUCGAGGGGCUCGAAUUUCAUCACAUCGCCCGCGAAAGUAACCAGGCGGCAGACGUCCUUGCUCGCAUCGGUGCUAAGCGCGACCCCGUCCCACCUAACAUCUUCCUCGAAAGGCUCUUUAAGCCAUCCGUGGUAUGGAAAGGGGGAGAUAGCAAUGACAGCCCUGUUCCGAACACAAACACAGAUAAUGAACACACCAAUAUCAUCAGAGGCUUGAUGUCUACUACACAACCUUCUUCUUGUAGACGUUGUUGGGCCUCCAAGUGCAGAGGUUUGUAGGACAGUAGCAAAUUUCCCUCAAGUGGAUGCCCUAAGGUUUAUCAAUCCGUGGGAGGCAUAGGAUGAAGUGGUCUCUCUCAAGCAACCCUCCAACCAAAUAACAAAGAGUCUCUUGUGUCCCCAACACACCCAAUACAAUGGUAAAUUGUAUAGGUGCACUAGUUCGGCGAAGAGAUGGUGAUACAAGUGCAAUAUGGAUGGUAGAUAUAGGUUUUUGUAAUCUGAAAAUAUAAAAACAGCAAGGUAACUAAUGAUAAAAGUGAGCGUAAACGGUAUUGCAAUGCUAGGAAACAAGGCCCAGGGUUCAUACUUUCACUAGUGCAAGUUCUCUCAACAAUAAUAGCAUAAUUGGAUCACAUAACUAUCCCUCAACAUGCAACAAAGAGUCACUCCAAAGUCACUAAUAGAGGAGAACAAACGAAGAGAUUAUGGUAGGGUACGAAACCACCUCAAAGUUAUUCUUUCCAAUCAAUCCAUUGGGCUAUUCCUAUAAGUGUCACAAACAGCCCUAGAGUUCGUACUAGAAUAACACCUUAAGAUACAAAUCAACCAAAACCCUAAUGUCACCUAGAUACUCCAAUGUCACCUCAAGUAUCCGUGGGUAUGAUUAUACGAUAUGCAUCACACAAUCUCAGAUUCAUCUAUUCAACCAACACAUAGUACCUCAAAGAGUGCCCCAAAGUUUCUACCGGAGAAUCACGACGAAAACGUGUGCCAACCCCUAUGCAUAGGUUCAUGGGCGGAACCCGCAAGUUGAUCACCAAAACAUAAAUCAAGUGAAUCACGUGAUAUCCCAUUGUCACCACAGAUACGCACGGCAAGACAUACAUCAAGUGUUCUCAAAUCUUUAAAGACUCAAUCCGAUAAGAUAACUUCAAAGGGGAAACUCAAUCCAUUACAAGAGAGUAGAGGGGGAGAAGAAACAUAAGAUCCAACUAUAAUAGCAAAGCUCGCGAUACAUCAAGAUCGUGCCAAAUCAAGAACACGAGAGAGAGAGAUCAAACACAUAGCUACUGGUACAUACCCUCAACCCCGAGGGUGAACUACUCCCUCCUCGUCAUGGAGAGCGUCGGGGUGAUGAAGAUGGCCACCGGUGAUGGAUCCCCCCUCCGGCAGGGUGCCGGAACAGGGUCCCGAUUGGGUUUCGGUGGCUACAGAGGCUUGCGGCGGCGGAACUCCCGAUCUAUUAUGUUCUCCGAUGGUUUUAGGGUAUAUGGAGAUAUAUAGGCGAAAGAAGUCGGUAAGGGGAGCCACGAGGGGCCCACGAGGGUGGAGGGCACGCCCAGGGGGGUGGGCGCCCCCUGCCUCGUGCUCUCCUCGUUGACCCCCUGACGUGCACUCCAAGUCUCCCGUAUUGCUUUCUUUCCAAAAAUAACUUUUCCGAAGGUUUCAUUCCGUUUGGACUCCGUUUGAUAUUCCUUUUCUGCGAAACACUGAAACAAGGGAAAAACAGGAACUGGCACUGGGCUUUGGGUCAAUAGGUUAGUCCCAAAAGUAAUAUAAAAGUGCAUAGUAAAUCCCAUAAAACAUCCAAGAUGGAUAAUAUAAUAGCAUGAAUACUUCAUAAAUUAUAGAUACGUUGGAGACAUAUCAAGGCUCAACCACCGAAGUAACACCAUCGGCCCACCUCAUCAUGGCAGUAAUUGCCCGUGGACCGAACCAUUCUUGGCCUACCUUAAUAGGAAGGAGCUCCCAGAAGAUCAAAACGAGGCUCGCCGCAUAGUCCGGCGUUCGAAAGCCUAUAAAGUUCACGAAGGAGAGCUCUACAAGAAAAGCACUACCGGAGUCCUUCAAAGGUGUAUCUCCGAGGAGGAGGGGCGGCAACUUUUGGCAGAAAUCCACGCCGGUCUCGGCGGACAUCACGCCGCAGCCCGGGCACUUGUCAGCAAGGCCUUCCGUACAGGAUUUUACUGGCCCACGGCCCGGGCAGACACACAGGACCUCGUCCAACGCUGUGUCCGAUGCCAACUCUUCGCCAACCAAAGCCAUAUGCCCCCAACCGCCCUACAAACAAUCCCCAUUACAUGGCCCUUUGCGGUCUGGGGCUUGGACAUGGUCGGACCCCUUAAAGGGGGAAGCCAUAAGAAAAAAUAUCUGUUGGUCAUGGUGGACAAAUUCACCAAGUGGAUAGAGGCUAAACCGGUUAAAACGGCCGAGUCCGGACCAGUGAUUGCAUUUAUAUCUGAUGUGGUACACCGUUACGGUAUAACGCACAACAUCAUCACCGAUAAUGGUUCGAAUUUCACAACCGAUGAGGUGAAAACCUGGUGUGCUAAUCUGGGCAUUAAGCUCGAUUACUCCUCUAUCUACCACCCACAAACAAACGGUCAAGUCGAGCGAGCCAAUGGUCUUAUUAUGAGCGGCAUCAAACCCAGACUAGUGCGUUCUUUAAAAGAAUCAGACAAACAUUGGGUCGAGGAACUCGACUCCGUACUCUAGGGGCUGCGGACCACGCCCAACCGUACUACCGGAUACACACCUUUUUUCAUGGUGUAUGGCGCAGAGGCCGUGCUGCCCUGCGAUAUUAUACACAACUCACCUCGAUUGCGUAUGUACGAGGAGAAAGAGGCUGAGUUGGAUUGGCAGGACAACCUAGAUGCCCUGGAGGAAGAGCGCGACAUCGCCAAAGCCCGUUCAGCAUUUUAUCAACAGCAGGCUCGAAGAUAUCAAAGCAAAGAGGUACGGGCCAAGACCUACAAUGUUGGCGAACUCGUUCUACGCUUACCGGAGAAGAAAAAGGACAAGCUCAAGCCCAAAUGGGAGGGUCCCUUCAUAAUCGACGAAGUUCUCACCGGAGGAGCAUACCGUCUUCGUGACGCCUCAGACAAUCGCCUCGAGCCAAACCCUUGGAACGCGGCCAGACUCCGAAGGUUCUAUGCCUAGCGCCGAACUCUUUGUUAGUCUCCUUCUCCCCUAUAGUUUCCAUUACUCUUUCCCCCUUUUACACAAUUUUUCGCUUUAAAGCACUCAUUCGGCUUUGACCGAACACUGUUGACGUACACAUCUUUACAUAUGUACGCUCAUUAUACCUGGGGGCUUCUCUAACAGAAGCUUGUUAAUAUUUUCCGAGCAUCAAGCUCAUCACACAUGCGUGUUUUCCCGCAUGUCUUUUCUUCGCCAUUAUAUGCAUCGAUAUGACUUAAGUUUUGGCCAAGCUGGGUUGCCUGGCUCCUGUGCUUACCCCUACGUUCCCUAUUGUUCGGCUAGGUGGUAAAGGGAGCACCUCUGCGAUUGUUACUGUCGGGUCAUCCGGAUGUGUACCUCAGACUGGGUGAAGCCGAAAGCUAGCGUUCUUAAGGGAAUAUUCGGUCGGUGGAUGAAAGGUCUCUUUUGCACUCACUCUAUUGUGAAUCCCCAGAAGCUAUACAUACUGUGAUUUUCACAUCACAAUUCGGACAUGUCUACUAAUGCAUGCACACCCAGGGAAAGGAACCCUUAACGGAACUAUUCUCUCUGGAAGAUGUUUCUUACGAAUCAAAUGUAAUAUAACAUAACUAGCAGAAUACAACUUGUCUGCUCAAGCAAUUAUGACCCCUAUGCCUAGUUUUCCAGGCAUGCCCCGGCCUAUUCGGCCGUGAGGGUAUCCGGAAACACUACGUACCCUUGAGUCCAGAGGUUGAAGCAAAAAGGUCUGCCAUGACAAAUGAUAUACAAUUCAGCUAGAAUUCCACACGAUGAGGAAAGUACAUAGUCACUUGGACUCAAACACUUCCUCCUCUAUACCGUCCAACAGGCGAUUUAACUUACAAUCCUGUUGGGAAUAUUUGGCGGCCACCUCUACUUGGUCAUAUACUAAACUAACGGGAAUUUCUUCCCCAUUCGGCCCUACCGGUCCGACACGCGCCAUGUGAUUAGGAUCAAGCUUGGUAUACCGAGUCUUUACCAUGGCCCAUGCCUCUCGCGCACCCUCUCGGCAGGCCAAUAUCUUCCAUAGCCGGAUACGCCGCCGCGCUCCUUUGAACCGCUCUACAAGCUCCUCCAUACUUCCUGGAGGGGAGGCGGAGGGCCAUAGAGCCUUGGCAACACUCCACAUCGCCAGCCUCGCCUGUUCGUGCACCUGUGAUAGCUUAAGCAGCAGAUCACUCGAUGAUCCAAACACCUCCUCUUCAGGACGGCCCGUCAAUAUACCUGCAAGCAUGGCUAUAUCAGUUUCAUUUCUCUCCGAACCACUAAAAAUAAACAAAUUCGGAAACAUACUGAACAUGCCUCCCCGCAGUUUCUUGUUCUCCUUUACGGAGUCGGAUAGCUGGGCCCGCACAUCCUUCAAUUCUUCACCCAACUUAGUGUUGGAGUCAUGCAGCUUGUUUUUCUCGUCCCUGACGCGGGUCAGCACAUGCUCGCCUGCGGCGUGUUGCCUCUUCGCCUCUUUUUCUCCCUCUUGGGCGAUCUUCAACUCCUUCUUAAAUUGAUCAGGUGACCCUAUUACGCGAUCAGUGGCAGUAUUAAGCACAGCUGGUAUACAUUCACUAUUCCUCACUAGAGGGGAACGUUACCAGUAGACAACUUCUUCAAAUUUUCCAGUUCGGUGGUAGCAGCAUUUAACUGCGCCCGACACUGUUCCAGCUCUUGGGCUAGCAGGUCGUUCUUCUCUGUAAGAACCUGGCAAUACAACGGUCCUUGAGUCAGUUGUACCAACUGCUUUCAGUCCCGGGGGCUACUGGCAUAUGGUUAUCUUAUUCGGACAAAGAAAACUUACCUGCACAUCUGUUAAAUACUGCUUCGUGGCUCUACUAAGCCCGUUUCGAGCAGUUCGGAUAUAUGCAUCGGCCGAGUUGAAGGCAUUGAAUGCCUCUUCCAAAAACUCAGGGUCUCGUAAAACAGCCCUGCAGCACCGAUGAUUCAUGGCGCUCUCGACUUCCGAGUUGGUGACGGACAUAUUCUCCAAACCCUCGGCCGAAGGACAGUCCGGCACUGUUCCUAUGUUGGCUCCCGCCUUUCCAACGGGGUCUAAAUCCCGGGCGUGGGGAGUACGGCUGGCCGGACCCUUGGAUUUAGUCCGGUGAACCUUUUUCCUGGUGUCAAACAAGCAUACAAGUUACAGUUGGAUGUGACUGUUGAAGUAUACCUUCAAAUCUUUACCUCUUUGAUGAGGGACCGGUCAUGACUUCACCGACCUUCCUUUUAGAGGCCUUCCUAGGCGCCGGAGCCGCUCUCUUUGGAGCCGCCCCUGGAGUAGUGUAACACGCCUAACGCCUCCCCUGUGGAGCACGAGACAGUGCAAUGGGUGAAGCAGUGCGAGGAAGCUCUUUCGAGAGAGGUUUUUUCUCAAACGACUUACGUGGGAAGCUGGAAGAAGACCAGGGUAAUCAGCGAUAAUGGCCACUUCCGUGCCAUCGUAGCUCGUCUGGUAAAACACCCCUUCUGCGAGUACCACGGAUAUAUCCGGAUCUUCUUCAUACCCGGGAUCCAGCUCCCGGUUGUGGUCCUCAGGCUGUGGGGCGGGGCUGUAAAACCCCUCAGUGAUUCUUCGCCAGUGCUGUUAUAAACGGAUUAGAAAUUUGUCAAAGGUAAUCCGGGAAGCAAAACAGAAGGAUUGGGACUUACCCAACUGGGAGGAUUAUACAUAGAAUAUCCCUCUCUGUGAUUGAUUCGAAGAAAUUCCUCUUCCUCCCCUUUGAACAGCUCGGCCAACAUUUUGGCCAGAGUGGCGGGGGUGCCCGGACCUUUUCAACCACAGCGGGAGGCGUCGUCCUCCCCAUUGUAGUGCCACAUUGGGAGCCCUCUGUAUUGAAGCGGCUGAACCCCUCGCAUUAUGGAGGUCGACAUUACCUCAACCAUUGUUAAUCCGGACUGGGCGAGUGUCUUUACCUCGCCCAAGAGUUGACGAAUCUCCGCACUGUCACCCUCCUCAAGGCUCCGGGGGCGCCAACUGUGGCGUUUCUUUAGCGAAACGCUUGCAAAUUCAGGGAGACCCUUUCGAACUGGGUCGGGAAGCGCAACAUCCUCGAGGUAGAAGCACUCGGAAAGCCACUCUUCAGAUGCCCUCCUUGGUGUGCGAGACGGGUAUCUGGUAUCGGCGAUUCGCCACACUUCGGCCCCGCCCACUUCAAAUAUUGACCCCUCAUGGUUACGUGGGACAAGACAGAACAACUUUCUCCACAGUUCGAAAUGGGCUUCAACACCCAGGAAUAGCUCGCAUAAAGCAACAUAACCGGCGAUGUGCAGGAGGCGGGAGUGAAGUUGUGCAGCUGGAGGCCGUAAUAUUCCAAAAGCCCUCGGAGGAACGGAUGGACGGGAAAUCCGACGCCCCUCAGCAGAUAGGGGACGAAGCACACUCGCUCCCUUCCGGAUGGGUUGGGGAAAUCCUCCGACUGAGUCACGCCAUUGAAGGAGACCGACCCUCCUCGGACAGGGACCAGAUCUGCGGGAGGAAGAAAUCCCUGCGUUUGCAGCUUUGCCAGCUGACUAUUAGUAACAGAACACUUCUCCCACUUGCUUCUCUUUGGGCUUGAGCGGGAGGAAGAACUGGGAAUGCUAGGCAUGUUGGAAUGGCUUCUCCUGGCAGUUUCUGGGGAUUUUCUCGGCAUGGUAUCGCCUGGAUCUAAGAUCCGGUUUCAUUAAAUAGGCGUUCUGCCUUGUGUGGGCGGGGUGUUAUUUGUAAAAAUACCCUGACUUUCCGCAUUCACUCGACACGUGGAAGACGAAGUUAUUAGCGCGCAGAAGCCGAGGGGAACAAUAUGGAGUCAACAACCGAAUACAUUGCUUGGAGAAGGGAACCCGCCUUGCAAUGCCGAAGAUAAUCCGAAUGCCGAACACCUCGUCAUUGAAGCCUGGUUCGAGGGCUACUGAGGGAGUCCUGGACUAAGGCGUCCUCGGGCGUCUGGACUGUUAUCUGUUGGGCCGGACUGAUGGGCUGUGAAGACACGAAGACCAAAGACUAUACCCGUGUCCGGAUUGGACUUUCCUUGGCGUGGAAGGCAAGCUAGGCGACCGACUAUGAAGAUUCCCUCUCAUGUAACUGACCUCAUGUAACCCUAGAUCUCUCCGGUGUCUAUAUAAACCGGAGAGCAUAGUCCGGAUAGGACGGGUUCAUUACCAUAUACUCAUAGGCUAGACUUCUAGGGUUUAGCCAUUACGAUCUCGUGGUAGAUCAACUCUUGUAACACUCAUAUUCAUCAAGAUCAAUCAAGCAGGAAGUAGGGUAUUACCUCCAUAGAGAGGGCCCAAACCUGGGUAAACAUUGUGUCCCCCGUCUCCCGUUACCAUCGAUCCUAGAUGCACAGUUCGGGACCCCCUACCCGAGAUCCGCCGGUUUUGACACUGACACUUGCCGAUCAUCGGGCAAGUCAACCAAAGUCCAUACUUUGUUCUCAUACAUGGAUCCCAUCUCAGAUUUCAUGGCCUCAAGCCAUUUCGCGGAAUCUGGGCUCAUCAUCGCUUCCUCAUAGUUCGUAGGUUCGUCAUGGUCAAGUAACAUGACCUCCAAAAUAGGAUUACCGUACCACUCUGGUGCGGAUCUUACUCUGGUUGACCUACGAGGUUCAGUAGUAACUUGAUCUGAAGUUAUAUGAUCAUCAUCAUUAGCUUCCUCACUAAUUGGUGUAGGAGUCACAAGAACUGCUUUCUGCGAUGAACUACUUUCCAAUAAGGGAGCAGGUACAGUUAACUCAUCAAGUUCUACUUUCCUCCCACUCACUUCUUUCGAGAGAAACUCCUUCUCUAGAAAGGAUCCAUUCUUAGCAACAAAGAUCUUGCCUUCGGAUCUGUGAUAGAAGGUGUACCCAACAUUUUCUUUUGGGUAUCAUAUGAAGACGCACUUCUCCGAUUUGGGUUCGACCUUAUCAGGUUGAAACUUUUUCACAUAAGCAUUGCAACCUCAAACUUUAAGAAACGACAGCUUAGGUUUCUUGCCAAACCAUAGUUCAUACGGUGUCAUCUCAACGGAUUUAGACGGUGCCCUAUUUAACGUGAAUGUAGCUGUCUCUAAUGCAUAACCCCAAAAACGAUAGUGGUAAAUCGGUAAGAGACAUCAUAGAUUGCACUAUAUCCAAUAAAGUACGGUUAUGACGUUCGGACACACCAUUAUGAUGUGGUGUUCCAGGUGGCAUGAGUUUGUGAAACUAUUCCACAUUGUUUUAAUUGAAGGCCAAACUCGUAACUCAAAUAUUUGCCUCUGCAAUCAAAUCGUAGAAACUUUAUUUUCUUGUUACGAUGAUUCUCUACUUCACUCUGAAAAUCUUUGAACUUUUCAAGUGUUUCAGACUUGUGUUUCAUCAAGUAGAUGUACACAUAUCUGCUCAAAUCAUCUGUGAAGGUCAGAAAACAAUGAUGCCCGCCGUGAGCAUCAACACUCAUCGGACCGCAUACAUCAGAAUGUAUUAUUUCCAACAAGUCUGUUGCUCACUCCAUUGUUCCGGAGAACGGAGUCUUAGUCAUCUUGCCCAUGAGGCAUGGUUCGCAGGCAUCAAGUGAUUCAUAAUCAAGUGAUUCCAAAAGUCCGUCAGCAUGGAGUUUCUUCAUGCGCUUUACACCAAUAUGACCUAAACGGCAAUGCCACAAAUAUGUUGCACUAUCAUUAUCAACUUUGCAUCUUUUGGCAUCAAUAUUAUGAAUAUGUGUAUCAACACAAUCGAGAUUCGGUAAACCAUUUAUUUUGAGUGUAUGACCAUCGAAGGUUUUAUUCAUGUAAACAGAACAACAAUUAUUCUCGGACUUUAAAUGAAUAAACGUAUUGCAAUAAACAUGAUCAAAUCAUAUUCAUGCUUAACGCAAACACCAAAUAACAUUUAUUUAGGUUCAACACUAAUCCCGAAAGUAUAGGGAGUGUGCGAUGAUGAUCAUAUCAAUCUUGGAACCACUUCCAACACACAUCGUCACUUCACCCUUAACUAGUCUCUGUUCAUUCUGCAACUCCCGUUUCGAGUUACUACUCUUAGCAACUGAACCAGUAUCAAAUACCGAGGGGUUACUAUGAACACUAGUAAAAUACACAUCAAUAAUCUGUAUAUCAAAUAUACCUUUGUUCACUUUGCCAUCCUUCUUAUCCGCCAAAUACUUGGGGCAGUUCCGCUUCCAGUGACGAGUCCCUUUGCAGUAGAAGCACUUAGUCUCAGGCUUAGGUCUAGACUUGGGCUUCUUCACUUGAGCAGCAAUCUGCUUGCCGUUCUUCUUGAAGUUCCCCUUCUUCCCUUUGCCCUUUUCUUGAAACUAGUGGUCUUGUCAACAAUCAAGACUUGAUGCUUUUCUUGAUUUCUACCUUCGUCGAUUUCAGCAUCACGAAGAGCUUGGGAAUCGUUUCUGUUAUCCCUUGCAUAUUAUAGUUCAUCACGAAGUUCUAGUAACUUUGUGAUAAUGACUAGAGAACUCUGUCAAUCACUAUCUUAUCUGGAAGAUUAACUCCCACUUGAUUCAAGUGAUUGUAGUACUCAGACAUUCCGAGCACAUGCUCACUAGCUGAGCUAUUAUCCUUUCGACAUGGGCACGAGUCUGAAAUACUAAUUUCAACUCUUGGAACAUCUCAUAUGCUCCGUGGCGUUCAAAACGUCUUUGAAGCCCCGAUUCUAAGCUGUAAAGCAUGGUGCACUAAACUAUCAAGUAAGCAUCAUACCGAGCUUGUCAAACGUUCAUAACAUCUGCAUCUGCUCCUGCAAUAGGUAUGUCACCUAGCGGCGCAUCAAGGACAUAAUUCUUCUGUGCAGCAAUGAGGAUAAUCCUCAGACCACUGAUCCAAUCCGCAUCAUUGCUACUAACAUCUUUCAACUUAGUUUUCUCUAGGAGCAUAUCAAAAAUAAAAUAGGGGAGCUAAACGCGAGCUAUUGAUCUACAACAUAGAUAUGCAAAUACUAUCAGGACUAAGUUCAUGAUAAAUUUAAAGUUCAAUUAAUCAUAUUACUUAAGAACUCCCACUUAGAUAGACAUCCCUCUAAUCAUCUAAGUGAUCACGUGAUCCAUAUCAACUAAACCAUGUCCGAUCAUCACGUGAGAUGGAGUAGUUUUCAAUGGUGAACAUCACUAUGUUGAUCAUAUCUACUAUAUGAUUCACGCUCGACCUUUCGGUCUCCAGUGUUCCGAGGCCAUAUCUACAUAUGCUAGGCUCGUCAAGUUUAACCCGAGUAUUCUGCGUGUGCAAAGCUGGCUUGCACCCGUUGUAUGUGAACGUAGAGCUUAUCACACCCGGUCAUCACGUUGUGUCUCGGCAUGACGAAUUGUCGCAACGGUGCAUACUCAGGGAGAACACUUAUACCUUGAAAUUUAGUGAGAGAUCAUCUUAUAAUGCUACCGCCAAACUAAGCAAAAUAAGAUGCAUAAAGGAUAAACAUCACAUGCAAUCAAUAUAAGUGAUAUGAUAUGGCCAUCAUCAUCUUGUGCCUUUGAUCUCCAUCUCCAAAGCACCGUCAUGAUCACCAUCGUCACCGGCGCGACACCUUGAUCUCCAUCGUAGCAUCGUUGUCGUCUCGCCAACUAUUGCUUCUACGACUAUCGCUACCGCUUAGUGAUAAAGUAAAGCAAUUGCAUGGCGAUUGCAUUUCAUACAAUAAAGCGACAACCAUAUGGCUCCUGCCAGUUGCCAGUAACUUUGUUACAAAACAUGAUCACCUCAUACAAUAAAAUUUAGCAUCAUGUCUUGACCAUAUCACAUCAGAACAUGCCAUGCAAAAACAAGUUAGACGUCCUCUACUUUGUUGUUGCAAGUUUUACGUGGCUGCUACGGGCUGAGCAAGAACCGUUCUUACCUACGCAUCAAAACCACAAUGAUAUUUCGUCAAGUAUGUGCUGUUUGAACCUUCAACAAGGACCGGGCGUAGCCACACUCGAUUCAACUAAAGUUGGAGAAACUGACACCCGCCAGCCACCUGUGUGCAAAGCACGUCGGUAGAACCAGUCUCGCGUAAGCGUACGCGUAAUGUCGGUUCGGGCCGCUUCAUCCAAUAAUACCGCCGAAUCAAAGUAUGACAUGCUGGUAAGAAGUAUGACUAGUAUCGCCCACAACUCACUUGUGUUCUACUCGUGCAUAUAACAUCUAGGCAUAAACCUGGCUCGGAUGCCACUGUUGGGGAACGUAGUAAUUUCAAAAAAAUUCCUACGCACACGCAAGAUCAUGGUGAUGCAUAGCAACGAGAGGGGAGAGUAUUGUCCAUGUACCCUCGUAGACCGUAAGUAGAAGCGUUAUGACAACGCGGUUGAUGUAGUCGUACGUCUUCACGAUCGACCGAUCCUAGCACCGAAGGUACGACACCUCCGCGAUCUGCACACGUUCGGCUCGGUGACGUCUCAUGAACUCACGAUCUAGUAGAGUGUCGGGGAAGAGCUUCGUCAGCACGAUGGCGUGAUGACGGUGAUGAUGAAGCUACCGGCGCAGGGCUUCGCCUAAGCACUACGACGAUAUGACCGAGGUGGAUUAUGGUGGAGGGGGGCACCGCACACGGCUAAAAGAUCAAUGAUCAACUUGUGUGUCUAUGGGGUGCCCCCUUCCCCUUAUAUAAAGGACUGGAGGAGGGGAGGGGCCGGCCCUCUCUAUGGCGCGCCCUAGGGGAGUCCUACUCCUACCGGGAGUAGGAUUCCCCCUUCCCUAGUUGGAGUAUGAGAGGAAGGGAAGGAGAGUAGGAGAGAAGGAAAGGGCCCCCCCAAACCUAUUCCAAUUCGGCCUCCUCCCAAGGGGGGCGCACCAGCCCCUUGUGGGCUGGUGUGCUUCCUUCUUAUGGCCCAUAAGGCCCAUAACUUCUCCCGCGGGGUUCCGGUAACCUCCCGGUACUCCAGAAAAAUGCCCGAACCACUCGGAACUUUUCCGAUGUCCGAAUAUAGCCUUCCAAUAUAUCUAUCUUUACGUCUCGACCAUUUCGAGACUCCUCGUCAUGUCCAUGAUCUCAUCCGGGACUCCGAACAACCUUCGGUACAUCAAAUCACAUAAACUCAUAAUACCGAUCGUCACCAAACGUUAAGCGUGCGGACCCUACGGGUUCGAGAACUAUGUAGACAUGACCGAGACACGUCUCCGGUCAAUAACCAAUAGCGAAACCUGGAUGCUCAUAUUGGCUCCUACAUAUUCUACGAAGAUCUUUAUCGGUCAAACCGCAUAACAACAUACGUUGUUCCCUUUGUCAUCGGUAUCUCAAUACCUAGUUCAAUCUCGUUACCGGCAAGUCUCUUUACUCGUUCCGUAAUGCAUCAUUCCGCAAAUAACUCAUUAGUCACAUUGCUUGCAAGGCUUAUAGUGAUGUGCAUUACCGAGAGGGCCCAGAGAUACCUCUCCGACAACCGGAGUGACAAAUCCUAAUCUCGAUCUAUGCCAGCUCAACAAGUACCAUCGGAGACACCUGUAGAGCACCUUUAUAAUCAUCCAGUUACGUUGUGACGUUUGGUAGCACACAAAGUGUUCCUCCGGUAUUCGGGAGUUGCAUAAUCUCAUAGUCAUAGGAACAUGUAUAAGUCAUGAAGAAAGCAAUAACAACAUACUAAAUGAUCAAGUGCUAAGCUAACGGAAUGGGUCAAGUCAAUCACAUCAUUCUCUAAUGAUGUGAUCCCGUUAAUCAAAUGACAACUCAUGUCUAUGGCUAGGAAACUUAACCAUCUUUGAUUCAACGAGCUAGUCAAGUAGAGGCAUACUAGUGACACUCUGUUUGUCUAUGUAUUCACACAUGUACUAAGUUUCCGUUAAUACAAUUCUAGCAUGAAUAAUAAACAUUUAUCAUGAUAUAAGGAAAUAUAAAUAACAACUUUAUUAUUGCCUCUAGGGCAUAUUUUCCUUCACGCGUCGUUGCUUCUUCAAGCCAAUGUCCACCAUGCCGACCUGCUUCGACUCCUCGGCUGGCAUGGGGGCUGCAACGUCGCCUUACCGACCCGCGCUCUGCCACCUCGGCUAGACCGAGGGCUUCGUCAUCUCUUCAUCAACCUACUCCGGGGAGUUUGGCAUCGCCAGCGAACAACUUCAUCACCUCGGCUAGACCGGGGGAUUCGUCAUCUCUUCACCAACCUACUCCGAGGAGUUCGGCAUCACCAGCCGACCAGCUUCGUCACCUCGGCUGGACCAGGGGCUUUGCCUCGCCAUGUCGACCAUGUUGCAUCGCCACUUCGUCAAGCCGAGCUCUUCGCUCGAUCACCUCGGGCUUGGGGGCUGGGACCUCGGCCAGGCCGAGGACUACGUUUUCGUCCCGCCACAAGCCUGGACCUCUUCAUCAACACGGAGCACACUAACCAGCUAAGUCGCUUUCAUGCCCAAAUUUCCUCAGUUCUUAAUUUUUUUUUGUUCGGUUCGACCAAGCAUUAUAUUUAUGUUAAAAUUUAUUUGUUAAAAACAUUGUUUGUAAAAAAACACUUCUUUUCCUAGGUUAACUAGGGCUUUUAAAUUUAUAUGAGUCAUUUUAUAAUAAAUUAUUUCUUCUUAGUCGUUGUAAAGUCUUUUUCUGCCACUCCUUUCUCGACUCGAGUGUGUGGUCAAUAGCUGGAUAGCCUGGUUUCUCUCUAAAGCCGCUCAAGUUUAGUUCGCUAAACUGGCCUUUGAGAAGCAUUCCGCCUUCGGGAUAGGGAGGUUGAAGCCGAAGGCUGGCCUACUUGGAGUAUAGAGAUCGGAUAUGUCAUGUCAAAGCACGAGAUCAUAUUAAGACCAAUUUCUGAUUGGCACAAAAAAAUUGAUUUAGUUCGGACGUAAAGUUUUUACUAAAGUUUUUUGGUUUUAUCAUCUUAUGGCACUUUCAGCCUACUUGUGUGUCUCCAGCAUAAGUCUCGCAGUGCAACACCGGACACUUUUAAAAGCGUCGGCAAUAUCAACGGGGCGGGGGGGGCUACAACUAGUGCCGAACUCACCAAAAGCCGUGGUACUCAGAGGAGUCCUCGGCAAAACGUUCUCAGAUAUUGCUUUGUAUGCAUCAGUUUCGAAUUGUGUCUUUGGUCAAUAGUUGGGUUGCCCAGCUCAUGUGCUUGCCUCCUACGUUCCGCUUUGUUCGGCUAGGUGUGCAAAGGGAGAACCACUACGAUUGUGCUUCCAGCUCAAAUGGUUAAGCACCUAAGUGGAGAAGCCGAAAACUGACUGUCACAAUGGGUGUAAACUGGUCAGCGAUCUGAUGACUGUGUCAAACUAUAGAUCGAUAGAGGUUACCCCAUGUUAAACGACGAGCCUUUCAUAAAAUUGGUCAUAGUGUUAAUGGAAUGACCUCGGCUUACGUCGAACACUAAUCGGGGGCUAGUAACUGGCCUCCCAACUUUAAGCUCCUAUGACUAAGUGAAAGUUAUAAAGCCUGCAUAUUUGAUUGCCUCUUUUCCGCUAAUGCAACCGCCUCCGGGCACCAAGACGUCGGCUAAGGGUUAUCUUGUUACUGCGGAAACACCCUACGUAGCAUCUUCAAAGGGGUAGAAGCCGACGAUGGGCCACUUACAAAUGAUAAAUGAUCGCAACGGAGUCAAAAGAAACAUAUAUCAUCAACAUUUGUAUUCAACAUACAAGCGUUGCCUUUCGUAAUUAUCGUUAUAAGCCAUAAAUAUACAUCAAUUCGACUAAAGAUUUUGGCCAAGCUGCGUUGCCUGGCUCCUGUGUUUACACCAUACUUUCCCGAUUGUUCGGCUAGGGGGUAAAGGGAGCACCUCUGUGAUUGUUACUUCCGGGUCAUCCGGACUAGUACCUCAGACUGGGUGAAGCCGAAAGCUAGCCAUCUUAAGAAUAUAAUUGGUCGACAACGACGGAAGUGAAAAAUUAGGUUCAUUAAGACCACAGAGUUCGAGAACUUUCCCCAAACUAAAUCCUCAAUAUUUCCUCCCACAUUGAUCGGAGUUGAGGUUUCACGAUCAUGAUCAACAUGUUAGCCUGGGAAAAGGAACUUAUAAAGAAACUAUUUUCCCCGGAAGAUGUUUCUUACGUUAAAAAGUAAUAUAACAUAUCUCUCCGUGUACCUUUGUUUAUAAAACCGUAUGGUCGGAUUGCCUUGUUUACCGUAAAUCUUUGCCCUCAUAAAGGCUUUAUAAAGUGAAACAAACACUCCCCGGCUACUGGCCGAGGAGGUUGAAGCCGAUGGUCGGUCAACAUAGUUUUGUACAAUGCGGAUCCGAGCAUUAAUGAUGUAACGUACUUGGAUAUAUACAUAGAAUCAUUACAUAUAAAUUGUGAGUAAGUCAAUUUACUACAACCAUCUUUUAAAGAGUCAAGGACACAACCUCGCUGCGACAACCGAGUAGCUGACAUAAUGCUCUCAUAAUUCUGUAUUGGCAUUGAUUUUCCAUCUAUUAAGCCCCUUGGGGCCGACCUUGCCAAGCUCGGCUUUCGCUAGCUCUAGCUCCUUCAAGAGAUCUUUAUUCUCUUUCCGAGAAGUUUGUGUUAAACACAACAAAAUUUUCUGUCAAACGGAUAUCGAUCCUUAAUUCGGCCGCCCGUGCCCACAUUAAGGCUCGGGGGCUACUAGGCUUCACGCUUAUCAUUUACAAAUAUUAUAGGGGCACAUUGAUCCCAUGAUCUGGUGUUGCCACCCGACCAGUGGCUUGGGGGCUAUUGCAUUGCCUAUUCAAUGCAGAAAAUUCAAAGUGCCAAGUGUUAGGCUUGACCGAGCUAUGGGCAAACGCGUCUUCGGACAAUAAUAGGUACCAUCUGGGACUUAUCCAUCAUUAAGCUAAUAUAUUACGACGAAUUCUCAAAACCCUCUCUCAAGGGCCUGUCCGCCGAUCAGUAUCUCCUCUAAUGUAUUACACUGCGUUUCUAUUCCUACGUAUGUUGCCGAGCUAGGAGUUGAUCCUCAGGCCAAUUUCGCGAAUCAACCUGAGCUUUAGGGGCUACUGGGAUCAACGGUUUCAUGUUUUCCUUCAGAUGCAUCUCAUAUUUUAGGCCGACCCGCACCUUGAGGGCUACCGGCUAUACACCUUGUUAGCAAAUAGAUUGCACCAAUCGGAAAUAAAAUUCGCAAACAAUCAGCCCACGCCUGAGGUGGUGCACCACUUCGGAAGCAGUCCGACGUAAAGCUCAGAGGCAAGUGGUUAGCUCCCUAGAGGGCGUUUCCGAAUUAAGCUUGGUUGAAUUCUUUCAACUUUUUCAAGACUGAGGUAGUCUAUGAUAGUUCGGAUGCAGACCAACAUUGGAGCUCGGCUGCAAAAGGAUACAUCGGAAGAAGUUCUGCAAUCGGCAUAAAGCUCGGAUGCAAGUGGCUGGCUCCGUAGAGGGCAUUUCCGGCAUUAAGCUCGGCUAAACUCCUUCAGCUUUUUUGAACCAAGGUGAUCUAUGGCACCUCGGAAACAGUCCGGCGUUGGAGCUCGGCUGCAAAAAGACACCUUGAAUGCAGUCCGGCGUUGGAGCUCGGAUAUAGUCAUGCGUUAGAGCUCGGAUAAAGUCCGGCGUUGGAGCUGGGAUGCAGCUCGACGUUGGAGCUUUGGAUGCAGUCCGGCGUUGGAGCUCAGACACCAAAGGACACCGCCGCACGGGAAACACAUCAAACCCGAGGUAUGGCAUAGAAAUAACGAGGCAUUGAUGAAGGCCGAAGACUUAAAGGGCACCUGGGAUGCCUGACGUGUGAACACUUCAGAUUUAGCUCGGCAAUCCUCAAGAUCAAGGAUGGGAAUAUUUGUUAAACCAUUUUUCAAGACCGAUGACUGAAGAUGAAGAACAGUUCGGAAGAAUCGAGGAGCGUCCCUAACUUGAAGACCGGUUCAGGGGGCUACUGACGGUGUCCUAGACUAGGGGUACCCACCACGUCGUCUCCCGACCAGGUGGAUCGGGCUGAGGACCCCCAUGGCGGUUCACUAAUGGGCUACUUCGGGCAGUCGAUGACAUACAUGAGGAAGAUUCCACAAGACUUGGUGAUCAAGACAAGUACUCCUCUCCACUGACGUAUUCGACUAGGACUCUUGUUAUCCUAGGCCUCUGGUACAUUAUAUAAGCCGAGGCUGGGCUAGUCGAUAGAUCAUUAUGAUAUUCAUCCAUCAUAGCAUUAGGGUUUUGACCACAACAUACGAUCUCGAGGUAGAUCAACUUUGUACUUGAUACUCCAUCAAUAUAAACAAGAGCAUGACAUAGGGUUUUACCUCCAUAAGAGGGCCCGAACCUGGGUAAAACAUCGUCCCCUUCGUUCCUGUUACCAUUGCUCCGAGAAUCCACAGCUCGGGACCCCCUACCCUGAGGUCUGCCGGUUUUGACACCGACUCCGUACUGUUAAAUGUGAUGCAGAUGAGGACAACCAUAUGUGGUGUGGCAGACUAUACCACUAUAAGGCGAUACCGCCUCAUCUUCACUUGAUGCGGUAAACAUGAACGAUGUUCGUGAUAACAUUACCGACUACAUAUUUGUCACGAGAGGAGGGUAACUAACUUAUAGGAGAGCAAGUGAUGUCUUUUUGGUAUAGAUGUGAUUGACGAUGCAUGAACAAGCAAUGCCUUUUGGCAUAGAUAUGGGACAUCAAGAGGUGUCCUUUGGUAUAGAUAUGUGACUGGUGAUGUGUGCACAAUUUAAGUCUCUUUGGUAUAUAUGUGUGUUCAUGAUGAUGUAUGAAGAACUACCAUUAUAUUUGUAGUUCCGUUGGCCCACAAUCAUCACAUUUUAAUUACCUCCAGCAUACGUACAACAACUCAAAAAUUAGCAAAACAUGUCUAAAAAAUUUAUUACCAUUACAUUAGUACCUAAACACAUCUGAACAUCCCACGGAUAUCUCAGACAUUUUACUGGGAAGCCACAGCUCACAUAGUCAGUUCACCGAGCGACAACAUUGCUGACAACAACUUUCCCACCACUCACAUCCCACAACCCGCAACAACUUUCCCACAACUCACAACCCAACCAAACUUACUAAGAAUCAUUUUUGUUAGUUGUACCCAUUCACCCUCCUCUAGGUUAGACCGACUUCGGUACAGGAGUGACAACAACGGUCCGCCGGCGGCAAUAGUGGUCCAGAUAUCUCAUUGUAAUUUUCUAUGCUCUUCGUACACCAGGCACACAGAUGACAUCACACUAUACCGUUAACACAAAACAGAAAGAAAGAAAGAAAGACAGAAAACACACUUACUUAUUCGGGAUAUCCAAACCGAAGUGGAUACCUUGCUCCAUGUUGAUAAGUGUGACGCGGAUGAGGACUAUAGUCCACAUGUGGUGCGACAGACUGUACCACUACAAGGUGGUAGAGCCUCAUCUUCACUUGAUGUUCGUUUUUUUAAGGUUGGACAGUAGGAAAGGCUCCUACUGCAAAAUUAUAUUAAUCAAAGAAAAAGUUUAGAUGUUACAUGGGGAAAAGAGGGGGGGGGGGUCUAUACAAGAUCAUAAGAAUUUACAAAACGUGACUCAGAGGGAGACUAUGCUAUGGAGUCUAGGAAGUCAGCAAUCAGAUGUUUUUUGUGGACAGGCAGUCUGUGAGCAAUGUUGGAGAAAUCAGCUAUGAAGGCACUUGAUGUUCGUGAUAACAUUGCUGACUAUUGGUUUGCCGCGAGAGGCGGGUAACUAUCUUAUGGGAGAGCAAGUGAUGUCUUCUGGUAUAGAUAUGACUGACGAUGCAUUAACAAGUAAUGUCUUCUUUUAUAGGUAUGAGACACCACGAUGUGCCUUUUGGUAUAGAUAUGUGGAUGGUGAUGUAUGAACAAUUCAAGUCUUUUGGCAUAUAUGUGUGCUUAGGAUGGUGUAUGAAGAAUUAAUGUUAUAUUUCUAGUUCUAUCGGUUUACUAUUCUCACAUUUUAAUUACGUGCAACAUAUGUACAAUAGCUAAAAAAUUAGCGAAACAUGUCUAAAACAGAUUAUUAUCAUUAUAUUAGUACGUAAACACCGUUUCAACAUCUCAAGGGUAUUUCAGACAUUUUACUCGAAAGCCACAACUCGGACAUGCAGUUUACCAAACGACAAUACUGCUCACCGCAGCUUUCCCACGGCUCACUGCCUACAUCAGCUUUCCCACAGCUCACAACCCACAUCAGUUUUAGGCUUUUCCGCACAGUUCACAUCCCAACCAAACACCCUCUUAGCCUUGCAUUCACUGCAACUUGUUGAACACAUAGACCCAGCUGUCAUCGACAAGGUUAGACCGGCUCCGGUAUAGGAGUGACAACAACGAUGCGCCUCCAGCGGCACUGGUUGUUCAGUGGUCCAGAUAGCUCAAUGUAUAAUUUUUAUUAUGUUUAUUAUGGUGCUAUGUACUUUCGACGCACAAUCGCAAUAAGCCUUGAUUUUUUUAAAUAUUUUAUUCUGUUCGUACAUCAGGCACACAGAUGACAUCACACACUAUACCGUUAACACAAACCACAAAGAAAGAAAGAAAAACACGCUCACGUGCACCACCAUCAUCCAUCCAUGUGUUGUAAAACCUUCCUAAAUCCUCCUCCUACACGGCCAGCCGAAAAGCCCCAGACCAACCGUAGCGGCUAUCACCCCAAAACACUCAUCACUCGACAAAGCACGCCGGCGGCGAUACAUACAUUCCACCCCCGCCCCCGUUUCAUUUCCCUCCACCCUUUUCCGUUUCCCUCCACGGCCCCCCCCUCUUCCCUCCCCCAUUUUCAGAUCCAAAAUCCAAAUCUCCGCCCUUUAUCUCUCCUCCCCNNNNNNNNNNNNNNNNNNNNNNNNNNNNNNNNNNNNNNNNNNNNNNNNNNNNNNNNNNNNNNNNNNNNNNNNNNNNNNNNNNNNNNNNNNNNNNNNNNNNNNNNNNNNNNNNNNNNNNNNNNNNNNNNNNNNNNNNNNNNNNNNNNNNNNNNNNNNNNNNNNNNNNNNNNNNNNNNNNNNNNNNNNNNNNNNNNNNNNNNNNNNNNNNNNNNNNNNNNNNNNNNNNNNNNNNNNNNNNNNNNNNNNNNNNNNNNNNNNNNNNNNNNNNNNNNNNNNNNNNNNNNNNNNNNNNNNNNNNNNNNNNNNNNNNNNNNNNNNNNNNNNNNNNNNNNNNNNNNNNNNNNNNNNNNNNNNNNNNNNNNNNCCGACCCACCACCACCUCAUCCAUUCCCCUCCUCCCUCCCCCUUCCCGCCGCCGCCUCCUCCUCCUCCAAACCCCUACUCCCGCCGACCAAUCGAUCGAGCCAGUGCUCCGCUCUGGUGGUUGGCCGUAGUAUAGCCCGUGGGUUCCUCACCGUAGCAGAGAUCUGUGGCGGCGGAGCGGAUCGGGCCGGCACCAAACCCCUAAACCCACGCCCCCCGAUCCCCCGAUCCGCGACGAGGAGCGGGUGCGGUGGCCGGACCCGCGGAUCGCCGGAGCUCAGAGGGGGUGCCUGUCGCAGAUCUGCCGAUCCUGGCGCCGGACAUGAGCUCCUCGGUCGAGAAGGUGAGCCGAUCCGAUCCGGAGCGUGUUUUCCGUGCCCGAUCUGUAGAUGCGAGGCAGGGAUUUGGUGUUGAUCUGACGUGUUUUGCCUCGGUCUGUUCGCAGGGGAACGGAUCGCUGGAUCCCGGCGAGCGCCCGGCCGCCGGCAGCCAGCCCAAGGCCUGCACCGCCUGCAACACCACCAAGACGCCGCUCUGGCGCGGCGGACCCUCCGGACCCAUGGUGAGUGCCGCAGAUCCCUCCCGAUCUGUUGUCUAACCCCUUUGUUCUUUCCCGAUCUGUGAUUUACGGCGGCUGAUCUGUUUUUUAUGGUCUCCCUCGAUCCAGUCGCUGUGCAACGCGUGUGGGAUCCGGUACAGGAAGAAGCGGAGGGAGGCGAUGGGCCUCGAGGACCCCCCCAAGAAGAGGCAGCCGGCGGCCGCCGCGCCUGCGGCGGCAGCGGCGUGCUCGGAGGCCGGCGGCGAGAGCGCGGAUCCGGAGCAGCAGCAGCCUCAGCAGCCCAAGAAGAAGACGACGACGACCAAGAGGGGGCGCGAGGUGGAGCUCCGCGUUGUCGGGUUUGGCAAGGAGGUGGUGCUGAAGCAGCGGCGGCGGAUGCGGCGCAGGCCGCGGCUGGGCGAGGAGGAGAAGGCGGCCAUCCUCCUCAUGGCCCUCUCCUCCGGCGUCAUCUACGGCUGAUCCAGGCCGGCCCAGCCCCACCUAGCUAGCUAGCAGCAAGCGGAGAGAGGAGAAGAGAAGAGAAGAGAGAUGAGAGGAGAUCCAGAGUGUGAGUGAUUUGCUCGCUUGCUGCUUGUCUAGCAAGCAAGCAUGCAGGCAGAGAUGUUGCGGCGUCUCUGCCUGCUCCCCCUUGUUCUUUCCUGGUAGUUUUUCCGGCUGAUUAGUUCUUCAAUAAUGAAUGAAUGAACGAUGAUGCAGCUGCAGCAGCUGCUGCUGUUCUUCGUGCCAGCUUAGCGGCUUUGUUCUUUCUUGUUGCCUAGUAGCAGCUGUGAUGUUACCCAAGUAGUAGUAGUAGCGGUUAUCCUAGUAGUAGUAUCAGUGGUAGUGUGUAACAUUGCAGUGUAAGAAUUGAGAGAGCUUUAUGAAUGAUGAACCAUCUUUGUGGCUCCAGAUCUGUGCAAGCACUCUCUUUUUCACCUGAAAGCGGGCUUGAUAGCAGCUCCAGAUCUGUGCAAGCACCCGCCUUUUCUUCCCUCGCAGCUGAAAUUCAUCCCAGGUGAUCGAUCUGCCAUUGAUGGAUGUUUGAUCUGAUGUGAUGGUGCACGGGUGGUGUUUCCGCCUGGGAUCUGGGGUUGGCGGCCGGAUGAGUAGCAUUCCAUUCCGUUCCGGUGAUAGUAGUAUUUUCCGGGUGGAAAAGCAAGCAGUGAGGUCGCCGUCCAUGGUGGUUUCUCGAAAGGGAAAAGUCAGCACCCGGUCUUUCUUUCACCCUCUGCUGCUCCACUGCACUCCACUGCUGCUGUCACCAGCUUUCAGCCCGCUUGCUCACUCACUGACACUGGUAGGAGUGGAGUGGGGUGGAGGAAUCCAAACCCUAUCUACUGGAGUAGUAGUAUCCCGAUGUGUGACCCAGCGGGCCGGCGGGCCGCGGGGAGGGGGUGAAAGGCGGCAUGGAAUUUGCUUGUUCGGGAGGGUGCCCGCAGUGCAGAGCCCCCCAUCCACACGGCCGGGAAUCCCGUGAUUGCUGCGUGCAUCUCUUAUCUUGUCCGUCCCGGACCAGAGGUGUGCCGCUGCCUGCCCCUGCCUGACGACUCGAUGUUGCGAUGGAUGGAUAAUCAUGCGACGGGCCUGCCUGGCUGUUGGCUGUGGGUAUCUUGUGAUCCUGGUUGGUGGUUUGUUCCGUUUUGUUUGUGUUGUGCUCCCGUCCGGAGAAAAAAGAUCAUUGGAUGGAUGGUGACAAGUCAUUCGUUCGUUCGUUCGGGUGCCAAACAAACCAUGUUUUGUUUUGUUAGUGGUGCUGUUGCGUAUCAUGCCGUGCGUGCGCGUGUUUUGGGUGUAUAAUGUAUGUAGGAUAGUGUACGGGUUUGGUGAUGGAUCGGACGGCCGCGUCCUACUUUGCGUAUUACUAGCGGGGCUACCAGUUUUGGACUUGGGCCGGGACCUGGGGGAGUGGGGAACCGGGGAUGGAUCGAUGGAUGGAUCGAUGGGCGGUCUGCGCUGUUGUGUCUUGGUUUCUUCUCCGGGGAGGUGUCGACUCGCGGGUUUGGGGAAGGAACGGCGUACUAGUAAAUAAUAAAGGCGAGGGAGGCGUGGCGGGCACGUGAGUGUGUCAGCCGUGGAACGGCGGGGUGGCAUGGCAUUGGGGACUGGGCUCCGCUCCGCUGCCUGGGAAGGGAGCAAUGCCGGCCGGCCGUCGUGUCCACGGCCUUGGCCUUUUACCGCUGCCGAUGCGCCAAACGCGGUGCCCCUCCGUCCCAAACAAAACCCCUCCGUCGCAAAGUUAUUUUACGACGGAUGGAGUGCAUAGUUUGCCACACAGGGCAGAACGUCAUUGCAAAGCGCACCAUCGGUCCUACUAUCGGAACCAGACUUAGCAAUCUCAUGCGCCGUCCUGUUUGCCUGCCUAUCAAUCUUCACAACCUUAAGAUCCUUCAUAAACUUUGAGACGCUCAUCGCUUCCUUUCUCAGAUCAACAAAAAGGGGACCUGUCUAUGGUUUCUUUUGCGAGAGAAGAUGCAACAAAGGGGCAAUCAGUUUCCAGAAAAAUUGGUUUGUCAAGUAAGUGUAGUACCAACGUAUAACCCGGGGAGGCACGCAUGAAGUUCCGCUUCAUCCACACAGGUACACGACCGAAUAAAAUCCCACAAAGAGAAGAAACCAUGACUUCACCCAGAUGAUUCCUGACGACAAGCCCUACACUAGCAGAUCUCAUGCUCUCCACAAAAUUAGCGUCAAUAUUUAUUUUAAAAUAGUCGAGAUCAGGAGGCUUGCAAAGAACACAGACAUUCGUUGGCGAAUUAACGUACCUCCAAUUAUCUACCACCCCCUCAUCUUUGUUGCUUAAAUCCACUUGCACAAAGGCGUUGACUGACGUGAAGGUUUUCCAAUAACUUUCCACAAAAAUAACAGAGGCGGACAAAGGUUCUUCCCCCUUCCAAAAAUCACAGUGGCGGGGCCGCACGGUUUCGGGAAGAGAGAAAUGUGGACGUAGCACAUGUCACCUCUCUUUGGAUAUGUCUUCUCUCUCCAAUGCCGAUGAGGUUGAAGAACAUGCUUGUGGCAGACAUGCUCCAUGCAGGUGCUCCUAUGCUGUUGCAGCGAAGUCGAAGUCGUCGGGCUGCGAGUGCGAUGGAGGAUUCGUCGAGGUGUUUAGUUUUUCAUCAUUUUCGUAUGUCUUGUGGUGCUAGUGACCUAGCUUAGAUAUGUGUAGUUGCCUAUUGUUCAGGUUUUCGUCCGGUUUUCCUCUAAUAAACCAAGCAGCUCUCGUCGAUGGCCUACGUCUUCUGAAUGGAGUCUUAGCUGGUUUUCUGGUAACUUUUUUUUAAUAAAACGUCUAUACUGCCUGCACUCGUUGAUUAUAACUCUUUUUUAAGGGUUCAUUUAGACGUGAUGUAACUACUAUUGUACGUCACAUCUAAGUAUGACAUGAGCGCUCUCAUCUUAGAGCUAGCCCAUCCCACCUCGUGCUUGUUUGUUUGUGUGUUCUUCUUUGUUUCUUUAACGCCGACCCGAGGGUAAAUCACCAAGGCAAUCGCUGGCAACGGUUUAGGGGCACUCUCACCCGCAGGAAAACACUGCUCACUGCAAGAGAUCAUUAGAGAUCUCUAACACCACAGAGAUGCACGGAUGAUCUCUGUACACGCGCACUUCGUGAACGUUCACACGUUUCAUCAUAUGGGUGAGGUCAGGUGUAACAGUACGGCCGGUCACCCUGCAAAAUAAAAAAUAAAAAAUACAGCCGGUCACUGGUCACAAAGCCAAUCACGACCAUCACUCCCAGGCACAUUCUACAUCAGAGGUACCCGUAAUUACUCAUAGUAAAGCUAAAAAAUUCAAGUCAAUUACAACCAAUAAUACCAGAUUGACCCUACUGGAUUAUCCAGGAUCAAGCUGCUGUACGAAGACAUACUUAACGCCAUGUUUGGGUGUGCUGGAGUAUUAGUUGCCGCUAAAAAUUCUCAAUAAAUAAAUAAAAUAAAAUGAGUUGCUGCUAAAAAAAGCUAUAAAAUUUAUAUUUAGCUAAGUUUGUAUAUCAGACAGGCUAGUGCUAGCUAGCGUGAUAAUCCAAGUUUACGAUCGCGGGCGAGACCAUUUAGCGGCUGCCCACACACACAGCGGGAGAUAGCGGCUGCUAAGCCAAUUAGUAUAUGUGCAUAUUUGUCUCGGAAACAGAGGAUUUAUCAGCAGAAAACAGGGGAUCUUCAGUAGAAAUUCAGACAUAACCAGCAUAAGAGAGGUCUACAGCAGAGACCAAUUCAUCACAUAAUGUCCGACAUAAAUUCAAGGUCUCAAGGAUCACUAGUUGACCACUUAAGAGUAUCUACACCCGGACUUGGCAAAUCCAGCCCCUCAAACGCCCGCGGACGUGCCGCGGGUACUGACAAGGCAUCCCUCAAAUUAGUCAUUUUGCAUCCACCUCUCUCAUAUUUAUUCCCUAAAUCCAUAUAAAGCAUGCAAGAAAAAAAAUACGUACCACAUUUACGUACUACCCUAGGUACUCUUCGUCGUUGGAGAUGUCCACGACGAGGGUGACGGGCGCCGGCUAGACGGGUGGAUAGGAGGGCUCCGGCUCAUCCUCCUUCUACUCGACCUCAUGCAUGUAGGCGAACAUCUCCGCCUCCUUCGCGGCCUCUUGCGCCUCCAUCUCCUGGCGGCGACGGCAUCUUGCCUUCGCAGCCGACUCCAACCGGAGGGAAUCAAUGAUGGUCUGCUGCUCCGCCUGCAGAUCCCCGUCGCCAGCGUCCCCCACAUCCUCCUCCUCCUCCGGAUUCACUGCAUCCGGAGGUAGCCCCGCAACAAUCUGGGCGGUCUCACUCUCUCUCUCUCUCGUGUUCUUGAUUUGACACGAUCUUCAUGUACCGCGAGCUUUGUUACUAUAGUUGAAUCAUAUGGUGUUUCUCCCCCACUACCUUCUUGUGAUGAAUUGAGUUUUACCUUUGAGGUUUCACUAUUAUCGAAUUGAAUACUAUUAUGUAUUUGAGAACACUUGAUGUAUGUCUUGCGUGGGAUACCCGUGGUGACAAUGGGGUGUUCUAUUGAUUCACUUGAUGUAUGUUUUGGCACUCAACUCGCGGAUUCCCGAGGUGACAUUGGGGUAAUCUAUUCAUAAGGGUUGAUGCACAUUUUCGUCCUUGUUUCUCCAGUAGGAAUCUUGGGGCACUCUUUGAUGUUCUUUAUGUUGGAUUGAAUAUUAUGAAUCAAAAGUUGUUUGAUACUUAUCGUAUAAUUGACCCACGGAUACUUGUGGUGACAUUGGAGUAUCUAGGUGACAUUAGUGUUGAUUGAUGUGUGUCAUAUGGUGUUAUUUCACUACGAACUCUAGGGCAGUUUGUGACACUUAUAGGAAUAGCUCAAUGGAUUGAUCGGAAAGAAUAACUUUGAGGUGGUUUCGUACCCUACAAGCAA